AUUAACCUCAGAUGAUCCUACUGCUCAAGUCGGGGCGUCAAAGUUGAUCAAGAUAGACGACUCGUUCUAUACCAGCUGUCCGGACGGCAUGGUACUGGAGUGUAUACUCAUUGGAUUCGCCCCUUUUUGCAAGUGCGUGCCUAAAAAGGGUGCCGGCCUCACCGAUGGAUCCAUGCUUCCGAGCGACGGCAGAGGUUCGUGGCCGUGUUUGAAUGAAGGGAAAAUCUAACUAGCCGCGCCGUAUUUCAUGCUUACCGUGCGGCGGCUUGUCCUCAUGCGCGUAUCGCACGCACGACCAGUGAGCCAGCGCAACCGCACACUCCUCAACGCACUGUUGCUAUAGUACACCGCUACUUUCCACGGAAAACGUUCGUACUACCACAGAAUGUGUGAUCACUGUGCCCCAGAAAACAUCAGUGUUUGGCAAAGUACGCAUCGGCAUGGCUCUUUACAGUCAUCAUGUUUUUGCGGUAAGCAUGUUUAAUCCUUGCGACAGUGCUUUUUUCCAACAAAUCCACGUUGUUCUAUACAUCUCUAAAAUAUAAUGUUGACUAGUAAAUAAAUUCCAAUCUAAAAUAUACAACUAAGCACGAAACUAAGCUUCAAAAAUAGACAACUAAGUACUUGUAAUUUGGGCAACUAAAACAUAUUUAAUGACAACUAAGUAAUUUAAAUAUGACAACUAAAUAUGGUUAAAAUCUGGCAGCUAAGUCCGCAACCUAAAAUAUUCAUAUUGAAUACCAAGUACUUGUAAUCUGAUAAGUAUUUUAUAAUCUAGCAAAACAAGUACUAUUUGGUGGCUGCGCGUAAGCACCCCUGCAUCACAUGACGAGAUUUAUGAGACAACACGAUAAUUAGGUAGAAUUAAAAUAACAAGCUACUUAUUUUAAUCUGGAAACUAAGUAUUUUUCUAGCAUGGCAACUAAAAACUUUUUAAUCUGGAAACUAGGUAUUUUUGGCAACUAAGAACUCUUUAAUCUGAAAACAAGCUACUUUCUACAUGGCAAUUAAGAACUUUUUAAUCUGGAAAGUAGGUUUCUUUCUACCAUGGCAACUGAGAGCUUUUUAAUCUGAAACUUAGGUUUCUUUUCUACCAUGGCAACUGAGAACUUUUUAAUCUGAAACUUAGGUUUCUUUUCUACCAUGGCAACUAAGAACCUUUUUAAGCUGGAAACUACGUAUUUUUUCUAGCAUGGCAACUAAGACUUUUUAUCUAGAAACUACGUGCUUUUUCUAGCUUGGCGACUACGAACCUUUUAAGCUGGAAAUUAAGCGUUCUUCUAGCAUGGUAACUAAGUACUUCUAAGCAUUUUUUUUAGCAUGAUAACUAAGAAUGGGUAGUUUGGAGACUAAGCAUUUGCACGGUAAGUAAACACCUCUAAUCUGGAAACUAGGCACAUUUUAGCAUGUCAACUAAGCUCUUCUUGUAAUCUAGAAACUGAGCAAUUUUUAGCUUGGCAAUUAAUCACUUUUUCUUCCUUCAUUUUUUCACACUGACAGUGGUUAUAAGAUGCGUUGUCUAAUGAGAAAUUUGAUGUUUCUUUGGACAAAAGAAGCAGGUGCGAACGGUGAAAACGACAUGGCCAGUCUAGGAUAGAAUAAACGAGGAGCCAUGCAUGCAUGCGCUGUCAGCCUAGCAAGACGCGUACCAUACUUUUUCUCUGUUUGCAUGUGAGUAGCAUUUGGCUACCGGGCCGCCGCACGAGAACGCAAACAUGCGGCGCGUCCUUGAAUGAAACGCAUGCCAUUGUUGUUCAAAAAUACUCUUGAUUUUUCAACUCCCGCUGUUUUAAAUAUAAGUAUUUUUUUAAAUAUUUAUUCUGUAUCUAAAUAAUUGUAGUUGGAGAGGACUAGUUUUUUCCAACUAUAAUUCUCUAGGUACAGAGGGAGUAUUACGCUAAAGACUAUUUUUUCUAGUAUAAUUCUUCCCAACUACUAUUUUUUAGGUACAUAAAGGAUACAUAGAAAGCAAAAUAAACGAAUUUACACUCUAAAAUAUAUUUACAUAUGUCCAUAUAUGAUAUGUAAUGGAACCUUUUAAAAAACUUAUAUUUAGAAACGAAUGGAGUAACUAAUAUGCUACGUGGGUAGACUAACCGUGUGCAUGAUUAACCUCAGGUGAUCCUGCUGAUCAAGUCGGGGCGUCAAAGUUGAUCAACAUAGAGGACUCAUUCUAUACCCCCUGUCCGGACGGCAUGGUACAGAAGUGUAUAUUCGUUGGAACCACCCCUUUUUGCGGGUGCGUGCCUAAAAAGGGUGCCGGCCUCACUGAUGGAUCCAUGUCGUCGACGGCGAACAAGCCGGGGAACAAGGACUAGGACGAUGUCGACGUGGGCGCCGGUAACUAGCUAGCAUUUGCGCCCGUACGUGUGCCAUAUACCAUACGUCAAGCAAUGGUAAUAAGGUCCAGCACAUAUGGUAGCAUGGACACCCUUCCCGUCUUAUUGUACUACUAGCUUGUACACAUGUGCGUUUAUAUACAUGUUGUAUUUUUUAGCUCCUGUGUAUGCAUGCUUUUAUACACACAGAUGUACGGAGUAGGAUAUAACCUCCGUUUUAUAUUACUUAUAAUGGAAUAAUGGUUAAUUACUACGCACGGCCACCCUUUUUUAGCCAGUCACUCCAUUGAUUUCAUUCCAUGUCAUCGUCUGCCGACGGAACAACCUCCGUUGGCAUAGUUUGUUUGCUAAAGAAAAAUGCAGAACAAAUACAGCAUGCCAACGUCCCCAAAGUUCGCUCUCAACGAUGCAGAACAUACGAGCCGUUCCAUGUGAAAUUUCUACGGUAUUUAUCCUUCCAACUUAUGAAACAGACGUUGCAUAUCUUGGCAGCAUAAACUCGAACACAAACACAAAACCAUAAGCCACCCACCGCGCACACACCCUGCAGCUACAGAACGACAGCAAGAGUGAAGUCAACUGAACUGGAAACUAUAUAUUUUUUCACCUCACCAAUGAGAGUAAAAUCACUUCAACUGUUAACAGUCCAGUACAUCGGCAAGGCACGCACGAUACAACAACAUGAAUGAUAUCGCCCAGAUUUCUGGCAAUAAUUCCCCUACCAAGAUCACACAAACCUGAUACAUGAAGAACGAACCACGAUUUCCAAAAAUUAGACAGCACCUGCCAGCCACGUCGCCAGCCCCAUCGUCGUUUCUUCUAGGGAAGCAGGGCAGCUCAAGGCAGAUUACAAACAUCAUCAGACUACCAGAGACAGAGAGAGAGUCACUGGCUGGGACUCUGUCGGAAAACUGUACACUGACCAGAGGCAAGAAUCAACGGGAGGCGAAUCGGCGAAUGGCAUUCCCCCCAGCCUCUGUCUCAAGUCUAAAAAAACCGAAGCUAACAGUUGGUCUAACGCUAGUUUAUCAAAUCAAUGGAGAGGCGGCCGCCCAUGCUCGCUGAAGCUGCCUCUUGACCAGUGAGACGGGGAGAGCUUCCUGAUUUGCAGAGGGGCUGAUCUACUCUGGGGUGCUCGUUUUUGUACACGGGCGCCUGUCAACGCUACCGAGUAAGGGUCACCUUCGCGCUCCUGCCUCGCUUCUAUUCGGCCAGAGCUGUACUCCAUGUUUAUGAACGGUGAGGGAUUCCGGUAGUCUAGGCACCCGGAAGCCCCGCUGUUCCACCAGCUACCGCUACCACUGUCAAAGACAAAGCCGCCCUGGAGGUCGUCGUCCGGGUCACAUGAUGAUUCCCUGUGGCUGUAGGAAUCGCCGACGGCCUCCUCCGCGUCAUUGUAAAUCAGCUUCAGUGCCUGGACUACUUCACCCAUGAAUGGCCUCUGUGAUGGAUCACUGUGAACGCACACCGAAGCGAUGGAUGCCACUUUGGCUACGUUGUCGAAAUUGUAGUUGCCAUUCAUAGAAGGGUCGAUCAACCUCUCCAAACCCUCCUUAUUGCCUAGAAGAGGACGAGCCCAAGUAACAAGGUUCUCAGGAUCCAUGUUGUCGGACAUGCCUACGGGCUUCCUUCCUGAUAAAAGCUCCAGCAACACAACCCCAUAACUGUAGACAUCGCUCUUGACAAGAAGAUGCCCUGUCAUGGCAUACUCUGGAGCAACAUACCUGCAUGAUCAAUAGAGAAAUUUUACCUUUUGAAAGCCAAGGAUAAUUAGAAUAUAAUUAAGACAAGCUACUCUUGAGCAAAUUUAUGUACCGAAAUUCAUAUAGCUUUAGAGAAGUGUAAUUCGUGAACAAUCCUACCAAACAUUAUUUAUGGAAGGCAGUAUUAAUCACAAAGAGACAAAUCAUUCGAUCACAGCGUCACAAAAUACCCAAAUAAAGUGCUAUAUAAUCAUUUGUUUUUAUUAAUAAUGUGUAUUGACGAUAUUAUAGGGGCUGGACACAAGCGAAGUUUCUUACCCGAAAGUCCCCAUUACCCUCGUGGAAAUGGGAUUGAUUCCAUUGGUUGCUUCCCUUGCUAAACCAAAAUCAGUAACCUUUGGAGUGAAAUCUUCCUCCAGCAAUAUAUUGCUACCUUUGAAGUCCCGGUGUAUAACAUGAGGGUUUGAAUCUUCAUGUAGGUACGCCAAGCCUCUAGCAGCACCCAAAGCAAUUUUCAUCCUGACAUCCCAGUUCAGCAUGCCCUUAUCCUUAUCAGCACCUAGGCAUACAAAAGAUCAGAUUAACACAAAGAGUCAGCUAAGUCCACACACUCCUAAUCCUGGCUUACAUGUGACAGCGAUAAUUAUGAAGCCAAUUUUGUUUUCUAAGGCAGUGCACUGCUUUCUUUGAGGCAUAUCACUGGAGAAGUUCAGGUGCUAGAUUAGUAACGCUGGUUGAUCUUGUUUCAUCCAUGUAAUUCUCUUCAGCCAUAUCACUAGUGAGAUGCCUUUUGGUAUUCCAUGGAGCCCGGAUUUUCAUAAAGCAAAAAUGGUAUAUUUCAAAGUUUUAAUAAAAUGAAAAUUUUCUACGAGUACAUAUGGAUGUUCUCUGUGUACCUGUAAAAUUUCAUUAAAUAACCCGAUAUAUUGUACACUGCCCAAAAAAGACAAAAAUCCGGAUUAAAAACUAAAAAAUACAAGCCCAUUUUGUUCAUGUAUUUGUCUUUUUUGUAUACAUCACAAACAAAUAUGUAUAUUGAUAAAAAAUAGUAGAGAUACACUCCACAUCUAUAUAUACACUGACAAAAAAACAAACAGAUUUUUUUGGGCUAUAAAAGUUAUAAUAUUUUUUAACUUCUCUUCAUCGUCCUCCCUGGAACCCGUCCUCCAAAGCGAUUUUCUGAACUUUGAAGUACUAUAACUAGAAUAGCAGCUGGUCCUACCAAUCUAUGCUUAGGGAAAAGAAAAUUUGGACCAGCCUCGUCUAGUCAUUCUAUUACAAGAAACUUGAACACUUGGUUAAAUAUUUCCAUUUUGGCUGCUAUGCCUUAAUAUGUACGAAUUUCAUGUCAUUACUUCAAUAGUUAAGACUUGCCAAACAUAGCAUGUGUUACUAAUAUUUAGAACAUACCAUGGAGAUGGGAUUCCACACUUCCAUUUCGUAUAAGCUCGUAAACAAGACACCUUUUUGCACGUUCGGUGCAAAUGCCAAUCAAUUUGACAAGAUUACGAUGGUGCAAUCGACUGAGCAUUUCCACCUCCGCAAUGAACUCGCGGUCACCACUCCUGUCCUCUCUUGUCAGCAUUUUAACAGCAAUCUCGUUUCCAUCAUCCAUGGUCCCAUGAUAAACACGUCCAAACCCACCUUGACCCAAAACUCUUCUUGAACUAAAACCAUCAGUGGCCUUUUCAAGCUGUGCAAGCGAAAAUGUCUUUACCGAUGCUGCACAUGUGGCCACUGUUGAGAGCAUUGACGCUGAUACAGAGCUCACCAUGCUAGUUGACUGAGAUCUGCCACCUGUGUACCACAAAUUAAGUUGUUAGCAUAACUGCCAUUACUAGCAAUUUUUUGUUGUUAUAUAAACGGGGGGUUAUGGUUUUCAAAAGUUCAUGUCGCAUGCAUACAAAGUGACAUUCUUCUUUCGCAAUAGGGGGUAACUAACAAAUAUUAAAAUGGUUAUUUCCAGGCAGCAUUACAUAAGCACAUAGUAUAUGAGAACUCUAGACAAAUUUUUUUUUUUACUAAUUUUGGAUUUAGGCAAAUUUAUAGACAGAACUGCCCAAUUGUUCUGCCUCACUGAUAAGUGCAACUCUGAUUACCAAUAUCUAUGUGGUAAUAGAAAGGGGAAAUAUUAUCCACCGGCAGUGGCGUAGCUGGGGGGGGGGGGGUCCAUGGACCACCCUGAAAUUUAUCUACAGCCUAUAUAUUAUAGCAAAAAAUGAGUAAAAUUUAAUGUGGGUAAUUAAAUACAAAUGGAAGUUUUACUAUUGGACCACCCUGGAUUAUUGAGCUGGCUACGCUACUGUCCACCGGUACAUAAUAUAAAGAUCUCUAUUGCCCACAUGAAGAUGAUCUUAACGUGGUUAAAGGGAGAAGUUCCCUCCCUUAAGGCCUAGUUCGGUUAAUCCUUUCCUGCGGGGAUUGGAGGGGAUUUGCAGGGAUUUUGGCUUGUAGGGGAUUUAAUCCCCCUCAAUCCCCUUCAAAUCCACCUCAACUGAACAAGCCCUAAAUGUACGUUGUCAUGUAGAAACGAGGAACCCUGCAGAGGUUGUGCCUCGAACGCGGGUGGGGUGAGCUCACGGGUGUAUGUGCCUAACCAACCGGACACUACUUGGUUCUCAAGAUGAUCGUAACAGAUUCUUGUAUAAAGCCAUCAAAUGUCCGUGUGUUGCUACAGUGGUAAAAAAACUUAUACUGUAUAUUUAGGGAUGCCUUUAAUUUUACCAUCUUGUGCCAUAUCAAGUCAUUCAUAUCCGCCCCUAACAAGUUGUGCCAAAUCCAACAUGUAAUGUAACCCAAAGGUGAACAGACCGUCACCACAAUUGGCGGCAUAUUUAUGGGAGUAUAGAUACUUUACAUAGUAUCAUGUUUUUUAUGCUUUUAAGUUUUAACUAGCCUAUUUUUGUAAGAAAAAUGAUCAAGGUUGUAUCCAGAAGACCAUCUAAAACAAAAGAAUCAGGAACAAUGCUUUCUUCACUCUUUGGUAACGGGUGUACGUAGGUAAAUUUGAUCUAUCAGGGAAAUAAUUGAAAUAUCAUUUGUGCACAGCCAGCAAGAACCAUCUAUUAAAGGAUUCUAACAUUGCCCAUCAGGUUUUAAAAUAUUUGUACAAUGGUAAAAGUAGUAAUAACAGUAAUAAAUGGCAUACUUAACGACAACAAAAGCUGUCGAUUUUACCAUGUCUUCUUUUAACUGACGGGGUGAUCACAGGGUUCCCAGCCUCAUGAAAACGCUUAAGUUUCUUCCAUUUGACUAUUAAGAUAAUGAGCCCAAUGCAUGCCACAAUUAGUACCAGAGAGGACCCUGCAACUACCACGAUGAUCCAGCUAUCUAAUUUCUUAUUUUGAUGGUGCACAUCUGCGGUUAUAGGAUAUUCUCCAUUUCCUGGAGGACCUGACGUAAGAGAUGACAUAGCUGGUGGUGCAGGUCCCAGCCCUGCAGUGAUAACAUUGCACAUAUAAAUCAUAAAUUCAAGUAACUCACCUAAGAAGCAAAUACUCCACAUAAAUGUUUCUUACCUGGAUAGGUAAUGUUUAUAACCUCGUAAGCUCCAAAAACAGAUGAAUUAAUCUGAACCUUUUUAUUCCAGAACCUAUCCGAUAUUAGGGAUGCAGUAUAGCUAUCAAAAUGCUCUCUUAGUGGCACCAAAUAAAAGGUGACUCUUGUCUUCUGGUCAUCUUCGAUACUUGGAAUAGCAGCCAUAAUCUUCACUUGGCUCUGUUUAAGAAAUGUGCCAGCUGCAACUUCAACUUCCAAUUCUGCCGUGUGCAUGAAUAGUAAAUAUGGAGCUACAGCAAUGUCAACAAUAACACUAAGGGGCAGCACACAGCCACAGGGGGAACCAAUCGGUGUUGAACUCAUGGGCUCGGGGCAAACAGUGCUAGAGCAACCUGCUGAAGGUACAAAAGAAAACUAUUCAACACAAAAAUUUACAACAAAGCAAACAAGCUUAUACUUAGAUCAACAAUUAGUCUGCAUGUCAACAGAAGCAGUACUAAGAAGAAUAGUCCACAGAGGGAUGGAUAAUAUCGGGGAUUAGGUGAAGUAACUCAAGGAUGCAGUAUGAAAUUGUAAACAUAAAUGGCAAACCUUCAGGUGGGAGAGAUAGGGAUGGCGGAGGGGCAUGGUGUGGUCGUCUGUGGUGUUUGUGUGAAUGGACAGCGAUACCUGUAAGAAUAGCAGAUAUUAAAUAACAAAUAGUUUAUUGAAAACUUUAAGCAUGAACUUUUAGCACCGACGUUGUCACGGUUACAUACCAGGAGAUCUUGGAGACAGUACCCCAGGAGAAAAUGCCGGGGAAAUUCGAGGUCCAAACACUCUUGUUUCAGGGGGAUUUGACGGAUGUGGCGCUGGGCUAGGCUGUAUGUUUGCUGGAGAACGGAAGGUAUUAAGUUCACAUUUGACAGAAACGAAUUGCAAAAUCUGAUAAGAGAAAAACCUCUACCUACCAUAUGGCUAGCAUCGUGUUCAGAUUAACAUAUACAGUUUCAAAUGGUUACUUCAAGAAAGCUCAGGCGCACUGUACAAUCAUACAUUUCCAUUUGCGGCCUAUAUAGCCAAUGCCCGUUGGCAGUUUCUGUUUCUAAAAUAAGAGUGUAUGAACUGGAAAGAUAAUAAACCAUUUUCUAGAAGUUUUGUUCUGCGUCUGUAAAUGUUUGAAUUCUGCAUAUAUUCUCAAUUUAUCAUACUUGUGUUUCAAAAUUUUACAUCACAGUGACACUUUUUAUUCCUCGUACAUGGAAACAAAACAUGAAAUGUUUUCUCAGCGCAUGCUGCCGUGCCAUGCAUUUUUUGGAGUUUGGUGAAAGUUAGCAUUUCACUCAAGUUCUAGCGGUUGGUUAGGAGGCACUGGCGUGGGUGAGUUGUGUGUGUAUGGUGGUGUCGCUGGUGUGUGUUCACGUGUGCGUCAUCCUUGUAAUCGCCAAAAAAAUGGCCUCAUGGUCAAGCUAAGAGCACGAGAGACACCAAGUGCAUUAACUACUCCAGAAAGUAACGGCGUUAGUAAUGAACUCUGAGAAUGGCUGCCAAAUUUGUACCCGAACGUGUCCGAUACGUUUUGGCAGAUAUCAGAACGUAUCCAACUAUUCAGGCGUAUCUAACCCCUGAUACGCUAGUUUCCUGCCGUAUCCAUGCAACUUAGCUGCCAAUCAAGAGGGGCCAUCAUACUACACUCAGGUUUUGUCGAUAGUGUCACCGGGGUGGAAGAAUACAACUAUAAAAGGUGGUACCACAGAUUUAGUUAAGAGAAGACCGUCAAGCAUUACUUGCAAGCAAAGCAAGUGUUGGCUGAGUGUUGAGAGACGAUACUACAGGUCGGAUUUGAACUACUUAUAGGCGCGCCUUUCUACCUUAAGGUUUUGUGCCAUGGUCUCUUGGCUGGUUGUGUCACACAGAUGGGCACGCCCCUGUUUUACGCUCACUACAAACAAACGCAAAUUAGACUCUAACAUGCAUUUCCAAUGUUAAUGGAGCACUCCAACAGCAGUGGGAGCACAAACUGUCCACCAGUCCCAUCCCAUCCAUGCCUCCUUGGCACAAGGAACAAGCAGUGGCAGCCAUUGUCACCUGUUACUUUCAGGCAUGAGAAAACAAUGGCAGGCUAAAACCACCUUCCCUCUCACAGAAAAAUAAUGGCAGGCUAAAACACACAGCUCCAGACUCAUGUACCCAGCUCGCCCACACCUUGCUGGAUCCUUCCCCGGGUAGUCAAAACCAUCGACCAUGGCAGAAUCUAGAAAUAACACUGUCCAGAAUACCCUCUGUCCUCUGAUAGACAGCAGAAUUCCCCUAAUAAUAGACGGCGCUCGCACACGGACCGACAGAACCCCCACCCGAACCCCAAUUCCCAGCUUCCCCCAAUCGCCCAGAGCACGCGACAGCAACGUCGCAUCUUGCUGCUGCUUCUGCUGCUGCUAUGUCCGUCGUCCACUCCACAGGCUAGUGACGAGGAGCUGGAAUUCGCACCGAAAAUGCCGCCCCCACGGGCGCAAGCAGCCCCACGCCCUCCCUCCCUCCCUCCCUCCAAACCCCACCCCACCCAACCCAACCCGGAGNNNNNNNNNNNNNNNNNNNNNNNNNNNNNNNNNNNNNNNNNNNNNNNNNNNNNNNNNNNNNNNNNNNNNNNNNNNNNNNNNNNNNNNNNNNNNNNNNNNNCUCGAUCGGCUCGGCCUCAGGCGCGCGUGCGGUGAGGAGUGGCGGUGUGUGUGGCGCGGAGGAGGCUGCUCCUCCUCUCGUAGUGGGGCUGGGAGGAUGUGGUGGACACCGGUGGGUUUGGUUGGUUGCCUCUCGUCGCGCCAACGAGGAGCGGACAUGUCACGCUCACACCAGACAAGUGGCUCCCGAUGUGGCCGCGGCUGGGCUUCUCAAGCAGUCAAGCUCGUGACGGCGACUUCCGGCACGACUCACGAAGACGUGGCGGUGAGCCGGACCGUCAAGCAGCUGCUCCGGUAGCGCCGCACAUGGAGCCCUGCGGUGCUCGGGUCCAUGAACGGCAACCGGCAGCCGUUGCUUUAUUUGCUACUUGCUCCAGUGAUUGAGCACAUAAGCAGAUUAAUCUUCCAUCAGCACUUGCACUUCUAGCAGUGAUUUUACUCCUGUUUUAGACUAUAACCAAUACUUAUAUUUCAGUAUUGUUUUCUGUUGAGUACCAAUGUAUUCGAGAUCUUAAGUUGAUGUAAUAUGUUUCCACGUUUAUCACGUGUCGAGAUUAAUUACGUCCAUUUGCAAUUGAGAUUUUUAAUCUCUUGCAAAGAUAAAUUCAGUACAUCUACAGUACUGAUUUGCGAUUGAAAAUUUUAUUCUUCCGCAAAACAAUCUCAUUGUGGUUGAGAUUAAUCUCUCUCGCGAAACAUAUUAAUUCACCAUGGUUAAUUAUCUUGCAAUUUGAUACAAGAUCAUCUCAUUUAAUAUGAAGUCUAUACAAUUCAAGUUUUUCACUUGAUCAUCAAGUUUGCAACAUCAUUACUAUUCAUUACAAUAGUAGUGUAUAUCUGUAGAGUACAUUGUAUUCCAGAAUAAAUUGUGAUGUAAUAAAUUUCCAUGUUAUUCUAUAUGUCGAGAUUAUUUACAUCUGUUAUUUGCAAUUGAGAUAUUCAAUUUCUUGCAAAUAAAAAUCAAUUCAUUUUAAUUGAGCCAUUGGCUUGAUACGAGCAAGAAUUGAUAUCCAAAUUCUUAGUGUUGUUUUUCAAAUUGAUAUUUUGAGAAUCACAAGGUAGUGUGUAGAUCUACCGCUUUGCAGAUCAUCACCACUACUAUUAAAGCCUGCAUUUUGUCACUUUGACAAUAUGAUUGCUUUACAAAAUGUCCUCCCCACAUAUUUCACUAAGUCAUGACAUAAGGCAUUACGAGUGAGUAUAUACUGAUUUCAUCGGAUUAUACUCCCUAGUGCUGCGAGAUCCACUCCAUUUUGAAGAUUAUCUUCAAAGUGUCAUACUUAGCAAUUUGAGAUUCACGUUAAUGGUCUCAAGAUAACUUCUUGAAAUACUCAUUAAUUUUGCUAAGCUCACUACAACAUUAACCAUGGUAGUCUUUAAUUUACUAACCGUAAAUUAAUUAUCUCUCGUAACUGAUGGCUAGAGAAUUUGAGGCAUUCGCGCCUCAAUAGCCACCACUGCCUUUCCAUGGGCCAAGGAAAUUAUGAUCACUCUUGAGUCUCGUGGGAUAAUGUGUGAAAUCCAAAACUGUAAGAUUUAUCUAUGGUCAGGAUCACACCGCUAACAGAAAAAUGUUGUCUUAUACAUAAUAAGGCGUUAUAUUGGUUCAGGUCUUAGCAUCUGGUUAUUCCGUAUCAACAAUUCCUGGGCACAAUGAACCUCAAGGGCAAAGGCUUGAAGCUCACUUCAACCUUCAACCUGACAUCACUAAUGAUGACGGAUCCUAUGUGCAUGGAGAAUGUGUGGUUCAUUAUGCCUCAACCGACAUGUUUGGAGAUUAUGAGUAGUCUCUCAAUCUCAAUGUACAAAUACAUUUGUAUGUAUUCUAUAUAUCCGACAGUGAAUUUUUGAGAAUCAUCAUGCCUAUAUAUAGAUUUCUACGAGGGUCAAUCUGAUGAAAGAUGAAUUGUGCAUUAUGGACAUAUGCGCCACGGACUCUAUACUCAGGAAAGUCCAAUGUUUUCACUCUCGUUGAGAGAAAGGAGAUAUUUUAAAAUCGCUAGACGUGAUGAGGUAUUUGUUGGCUCAACUUGAGUCAUAUUUACUAUCCCUGUGGGUACUCGAGUAACGUCGGGAUGCUUUAUUGCUUCCCAGAUUUAACUCGUACCCUACUAAACUAUAGAGGUAUCCGUCAAAAUAGUUCCCAUAGCGAAACUUAUGAUGACAGCAACGAAUAUGGCAGGCAAAUUUUUUAUGUAUCAUCUGAAUUGUACUACACAUACGACACAACCCGUAGCACAUGUUGCGUAUGAGAUAGUUUUCCAGAGUAUCUUGUACAUGACAAACUUGGCAUUCUCGCCUUGGUCAUCGAGAUAUUGGGUUGAAAGCGAAAGUAUCACCAAUUCCAAUAGUUUAUGAUUAUUAUGAUGCUAAAUUCUAACAGUAUUUGGAUUUUGUGUGCACUACAUGUGACACAAGGAAGCUAAUUUUAAGGCUCGCGCACCUUAAAGUCUAUGCUGAACCACUCAGACUCCUUGAAUGCAUCAAGUCGAGGUAAGUGGCUCUUCCCAUCCAUUGACUAGACCAUUUAGGUAUUCCAUGGUUCUAAAAGCCAUAUCUAUAUGAUUGUCUCAAGUGUGAUUUAUUCACAUGAAACCAUUGGUGAUGGGAAACGUCGCAUGGGAAACAAAAAAAAAAUUCCUACGCGCACGAAGACCUAUCAUGGUGAUGUUCGACUACGAGAGGGGAUUUCCGAUCUACGUACCCUUGUAGAUCGCACAGCAGAAGCGUUAGUGAACGCGGUUGAUGUAGUGGAACGUCCUCACGUCCCUCGAUCCGCCCCGCAAACCGUCCCACGAACCGUCCCGCGAUCCGUCCCACGAUCUAGUGCCGAACGGAUGGCACCUCCGCGUUCAGCACACGUACAGCUCGACGAUGAUCUCGGCCUUCUUGAUCCAGCAAGAGAGACGGAGAGGNNNNNNNNNNUGAGUUCUCCGACAGCGUGACGGCGCUCCGGAGGUUGGUGGUGAUCUGAUCUCGGCAGGGCUCCGCCCGAGCUCCGCAGAAACGCGAUCUAGAGGUAAAACCGUGGAAGUAUGUGGUCGGGCUGCCUUUGAAAAGUUGUCUCAAAUCAGCCCUAAUUGCUCCAUAUAUAUAGGAGGAGGGAGGGGAGGCUUGCCUUGAGGCUCAAGGAGCCCCAAGGGCUGCGCACCAAGGGGAGGAGGAGUCCUCCUCCAAUCCUAGUCCAACUAGGAUUGGAAAGUGGAGUCCUUCUCUCCUUUCCCACCUCCUUUUUUUUCUUUCUCUUUGAUUUUCUAUCCUUCGCGCAUAGGGUCCUCUUGGGCUGCCCCACCAGCCCACCAAGGGCUGGUGCGCCACUCCCAAGGCCUAUGGGCUUCCCCGGGGUGGGUUGCCCCCCCGGUGAACACCCGGAACCCAUUCGUCAUUCCCGGUAACUCCGAAAACCUUCCGGUAAUCAAAUGAGGUCAUCCUAUAUAUCAAUCUUCGUUUCCGGACCAUUCUGGAAACCCUCGUGACGUCCGUGAUCUCAUCCGGGACUCCGAACAACAUUCGGUAACCAACCAUAUAACUCAAAUACGCAUAAAACAACGUCGAACCUUAAGUGUGCAGAACCUGCGGGUUCGAGAACUAUGUAUACAUGACCCGAGUGACUCCUCGGUCAAUAUCCAAUAGCGGGACCUGGAUGCCCAUAUUGGAUCCUACAUAUUCUACGAAGAUCUUAUCGUUUGAACCUCAGUGCCAAGGAUUCGUAUAAUCCCGUACGCCAUUCCCUUUGUCCUUCGGUAUGUUACUUGCCCGAGAUUCGAUCGUCAGUAUCCGCAUACCUAUUUCAAUCUCGUUUACCAGCAAGUCUCUUUACUCGUUCCGUAAUACAAGAUCCCGCAACUUACACUAAGUUACAUUGCUUGCAAGGCUUGUGUGUGAUGUUGUAUCACCGAGUGGGCCCCGAGAUACCUCUCCAUCACACGGAGUGACAAAUCCCAGUCUUGAUCCAUACUAACUCAACUAACACCUUCGGAGAUACCUGUAGAGCAUCUUUAUAGUCACCCAGUUAUGUUGCGACGUUUGAUACACACAAAGCAUUCCUCCGGUGUCAGUGAGUUAUAUGAUCUCAUGGUCAUAGGAACAAAUACUUGACACGCAGAAAACAGUAGCAACAAAAUGACACGAUCAACAUGCUACGUCUAUUAGUUUGGGUCUAGUCCAUCACGUGAUUCUUCUAAUGACGUGAUCCAGUUAUCAAGCAACAACACCUUGUAUAUAAUCAGAAGACCCUGACUAUCUUUGAUGAACUGGCUAGCCAACUAGGGGCUUGCUAGGGAUAGUGUUUUGUCUAUGUAUCCACACAUGUAUAUAAGUCUUCAUUCAAUACAAUUAUAGCAUGGAUAAUAAACGAUUAUCUUGAUACAGGAAUUAUAAUAAUAACUAUAUUUAUUAUUGCCUCUAGGGCAUAAUUCCAACAGUCUCCCACUUGCACUAGAGUCAAUAAUCUAGCCCUCACAUCACCAUGUGAAUUACAUUGUAAUAAAUCUAACACCCAUACAGUUCUGGUGUCGAUCAUGUUUUGGCCGUGGGAGAGGUUUAGUCAGCGGGUCUCCUACAUUCAGAUCCGUGUGCACUUUGCAUAUAUUUACGUCCUCUUCCUCGACGUAGUCGCGGAUGAGGUUGAAGCGUCGUUUGAUGUGUCUGGUCUUCUUGUGAAACCGUGGUUCCUUUUCUAAGGCAAUGGCACCCGUGUUGUCACAGAACAAGGUUAUUGGAUUCAGUGCGCUUGGCACCACUCCAAGAUCCGUCAUGAACUGCUUCAUCCAGACACCCUCCUUAGCCGCCUCCGACGCAGCCAUGUACUCCGCUUCACAUGUAGAAUCAGCUACGACGCUUUGCUUGGAACUGCACCAGCUUACAGCACCCCCAUUAAGAAUAAAUACGUAUCCGGUCUGCGACUUAGAGUCGUCCGGAUCUGUGUCAAAGCUUGCAUCGACGUAACCCUUUACGGCGAGCUCUUCGUCACCUCCACACACGAGAAACAUCUCCUUAGUCCUUUUCAGGUACUUCAGGAUAUUCUUAACCGCCGUCCAGUGAUUCACUCCUGGAUUACUCUGGAACUUGCCUGCCAUACUUAUGGCCAGGCUAACGUCCGGUCUAGUGCACAACAUUGCAUACGUGAUAGAUCCUAUGGCUGAAGCAUAGGGGACGGUGCUCAUAUGCUCUCUAUCUUUAUCAGUUGCUGGGCACUGAGUCUUACUCAAUCUCGUACCUUGUAAAACUGGAAAGAACCCUUUCUUGGACUGUUCCAUUUUGAACCUUUUCAAAACUUUAUCAAGGUAUGUGCUUUGUGAAAGUCCUAUCAGGCGUUUCGAUCUAUCCCUGUAGAUCUUAAUGCCUAGAAUGUAAGCAGCUUCUCCUAGGUCCUUCAUAGAGAAACUUUUAUUCAAGUAAUCCUUUACGCUCUCCAAAAACUCUACAUUGUUUCCAAUCAGCAAUAUGUCAUCUACAUAUAAUAUCAGAAACGCCACAGAGCUCCCACUCACUUUCUUGUAAAUACAAGAUUCUCCAACCACUUGUAUAAACCCAAAUGCUUUGAUCACCUCAUCAAAGCGUUUGUUCCAACUCCAAGAUGCUUGCACCAGUCCAUAAAUGGAUCGCUGGAGCUUGCACACCUUGUUAGCAUUCUUAGGAUCGACAAAACCUUUGGGUUGCAUCAUAUACAACUCUUCCUUAAGGAAACCGUUAAGGAACGCCGUUUUGACAUCCAUCUGCCAGAUUUCAUAAUCGAAAAAUGCAGCUAUUGCUAACAUGAUUCUGACGGACUUAAGCAUCGCUACGGGUGAGAAUGUCUCAUCGUUGUCAACUCCUUGAACUUGUGAAAAACCUUUUGCCACAAGUCGAGCUUUAUAAACGGUCACAUUGCCGUCAGCGUCCGUCUUCUUCUUAAAGAUCCAUUUGUUCUGAAUAGCCUUGCGGCCCUCAGGUAGUACUUCCAAAGCCCACACUUUGUUUUCAUACAUGGAUCCUAUCUCGGACUUCAUGGCCUCCAGCCAUUUGUUGGAAUCUGGGCCCACCAUUUCUUCUUCAUAAUUUGCAGGUUCAUUGUUGUCUAACAACAUGAUUGACAAAACGGGAUUACGGUACCACUCUGGAGCAGCACGUGGUCUCGUCGACCUGCGUGGUUCGAUAGGAACUUGAACCGGAGUUUCAUGAUCAUCAUCAUUAACUUCCUCCUCAACCGGCGUCGCAACAACAGGGGUUUCCCCUUGCCCUGCGCCACCAUCCAGAGGGAUGAGAGGUUCGACAACCUCAUCAAGUUCUAUCUUCCUCCCACUCAAUUCUCUCGAGAGAAACUCCUUCUCGAGAAAAGCUCCGUUUUUAGCAACAAACACUUUGCCCUCGGAUUUGAGAUAGAAGGUGUACCCAACUGUCUCUUUUGGGUAACCUAUGAAGAUGCACCUUUCCGCUUUGGGUUCCAUCUUUUNNNNNNNNNNNNNNNNNNNNNNNNNNNNNNNNNNNNNNNNNNNNNNNNNNNNNNNNNNNNNNNNNNNNNNNNNNNNNNNNNNNNNNNNNNNNNNNNNNNNAAUGACUUAGGGUUUGUCCUUCCUGAUUGAAAUUAAAAACAGAAAAUGACUUAGGGUUUGUCCUUCCUGAUUGAAAUUAAAAACAGAAAGUAGAUGCUGCUGCCUCCAGGCCCAUCAUUUAUUUGGUUUUGCUGCUGCUCUACAUGUUCCUUUCUUAAUACUUUCAUGUAACGUGCUUACAUGGACAGCAGAAAACAGAUUAGAUCAUAGAUAGGAUUAGGAGGAAGGAACCAUGGACAAGUGGACAACUAGAGGUGAAUCGGGAAGAGGAAGAAAAGAUGGGGUCGCUGCGUACAAACUGUUCGGCAAGGAAGAGUUGGACCAAGCGGCGGUCGAUGAACUAAUUUGCCUCAUGAAUCGAAGUAUACGAUCGAACUGUCGGCGUAGGCCAAAAGUUAGGGUUCGCAACGAUACGACGAGGUCUCAGGUUGUGGGAAUGAAUCCAUUGUGUUCGCUAAUCGCCUAGAAUAGAACGAUCUCCGGCUCAUGAGGUAUCAAUCGCGUCCCCAACACAGGCACAUAGUUGGACCAGUCAGCGCAGGCCUAGGUCGGGGCCCCUUAGACUUCAGGGGGCCCGGGGCGGCCGCCCCUCCCGCCCCCUGAGGGCCGGGCCUAUCCGCUAGGCGAACGAACGAUCCAAACGAACAAAAUUCAAAUAAAAUUCAUAUACGUUUAAAUCUUCCCGUUGGAGUUAUCCUUACGGGCGGGUAGCUAGGGUGCAAACAUACACGACAGUAAUCCAUGGCUGUGACCCACUCCUGGACGAGGCACAAGGAGCAGGCGUGAAUCGGGACCCAUUGCUCUCGACCGACGCGACGGAUAUGCACACACACUCGCACCUAGUAAAAAACAUGUUCCCAGCUCGUAGGCAUGCAUGCAGUUGCCUCCUGCUCUCCUGCUGCAGCGAAGCAACCAACCCAACCCUGUGUCCCUCUCUGCUGCACGCACGCAGCAUGGCCCUGCCUUGUUUAUUGCGACGUGAAGGCGAGCACUGGAGAGUGGAGUCGAGCCAGCCACAAGCCAAAGCGAAGCGAUGCACGCCGCGGAGCGCCACCGGGUAGCAGCCACGCACAACCCGACGCGGCCUCCGCGUUCCCGGCGCGGAGACGCGAGGCGGCGGCCUGGCCUCUCGUGUGUGCUGUGUUGCUUCGGGCGGAAGGCUUUCAAGUUGGCGGCGCCGCGGCAUGGGCACGUGCCCGAGUCCGGUUUCGCUUCCGCUCCGCCAGCCCACUGCUCCGUUGGGUUCCUACUUCCUAGCGAGGUCGACCGAUCGCGAUGGCCGUCGACGUCCAUCGCCACCACACACAAACGUUUGUACGGCCCGGCGCCCGGCGGGCUGACGUUCCCAUGCAAGGCCGACGUGCCGCGCGCCUGCCGACCACGUCUUCUUUUCAACGCGGCGCGUCGGCAUCGCAGCUGCAGCGCGUACCGCGUACUGUGAUGCCACUGGGGUUUAGGGGGGAGGCAGGCUUUAUCCAUUUCGGCCACUACGGGAUAUUCCUUGCAUUUGUUUACUUUGUAAGCAAUUCUAAAUGAAAGGGAAAAAAAAUUGCAAAAAUGAUUGCGCGCAACACUACGUGCACUAAUGUCAUGAUGAUGCAACUAAUGCCCGUAGACAAGAUUUCGUAACCAGACAAUUUCUAUUACUACUAAAAAUCUGUCAAGGUACACUUCAAAAAAAGUAUCUGUCAAGGUAACUCAAUCCUUAUUUUUUCUCUACUCAUGGCUUACUGUAAACCAAAUAUUCCUUGGCUUAACUACCCCUCGAAUUAUUAAGAAACAAACUGUUUACAUGCCUGCUAAUAGUAGUAGCCAGAUCAACGUUUUCUCACCAGUUUUAGUUGUACGAAUUUUGAUGCCUGGUUGAAGGUUCACAUCACUUACUUAAAGAUAGUGAUUUCUCUGCCACUCGAGCUAUAAAACCUUUACAUUUGCAUUAUGUUAUGUUGUCUAUUUCCUUUUCUCGACCAAUUUCUUCACAUGAUUUUUCUCGAAUUUAUCCGACCCACGAUCCAACCUUGGCUUCUAACUCCCGCGACGCCUCUUCCCUUGGUUUUGACACCAUCAUCCUCCCGCCACAGAGGUGUCUCCUGGUCACAAACUUGUCCGCUCCACUAAGAAUUAGUCAACGUCGUCAUUUGCCGACAUGGUUUGCGGCCUGCAUUUUUCGACUUGAAAUCUGCACUCAAUGUUCAUCUAGAUCGGUAUUUUGAUUGGAAUAGUGUUAAUAACUUUCUCUUCUACCAACGGUAGUCACCAGUUCAAUUCGUGGAAUUUUGGUAUUAAUUCUCAUAGCACUUCUCUUACCAUCAAGUGAAACAAAAGACAUAAAUAGUUGUUGUCUAUAGACUAAUAGCUAGCGUGUAUGAGCAAUGUGAGGACGUGUACACUAGCUUGAUGUUAACCUUUCUGUUAGGGAAGCGAUGUAGGAUAAUCAUUAACUUGAAAGUUGUAGUGAAAAAAAGUUCAAUGGUAGACGGGUUUAUUUUCGAACGGGAAUUCCUCAUUCGAUGGUGUUUUUCAUCAUGAUCUGUUUUUAUAAUAAUGUGGACUAGUUGGUUUACUACGCACUAUAGUUGGUGGGAAACCUAGUAGAAACCAAAAAAAAUCUUCACUACCUAUGUAUACCCAUGUAAAAGGGUCACAUCCCGAUCUCACCUCAUUUGUGAUUUUUUUUCCGGAUGUGAUCCUUUUUUUACCGUCACCCGUUAUGGUUGUAGGCAUACACACAUCCUACUGUCACUCAUUCUGGCGGUAGGGGUCGGGCCAACGCAUAUGACACUUUGGGAUCAACGGGGUCAAAUGACGCCACCUCCACUGACCUCACCCUUACCGCCACUUCGUGUGGCGAUAGGAAAAAAAAGCCAGUCAGAUCAGGCUAAAGUUAGCAAAAAGGGUCAAAAUCGUGAAUUUGGCCCCUAUAGGAGAGAUAAUUUUAAAUACAAAUGUUUAUAUAUUACUAACAUUUUCGCAUGAGGUUCUCCACUUCCAAUGGUUUUUUCCAACUUGAUUGGUACCUUCAUUGCAAACCAGCUUUUAGGUCCAAUGUUGUUCUCCUCUUAGCAUGACUAAGUUGAUUUGUUGUGCAUGUGUAAGACUGUGUUUGGUUCAACUUAGGGGCCAGCUUUUAGGUCCAAUGUUGUUCUCCUCUUAGCAUGACUUAAGGUAAUAUGCUUAAGUUGAUUUGUUGUGCAUGUGUAAGGUUGUGUUUGGUUCAACUUAGGGGCCAGCUUUUAGGUCCAAAAGCUAAAAUCUGAACCACACGUGUUUUCCAUCGGACUAACUUCGUAAGAAACUGCGGAUUCUCUCUCCGUAAAUUUCGUAGCUAGCCCAACCCAACUUUCCCAACUUGAAAACCAACCCAAAUAAUUGUCCCGAGGAAGUUGGGUAUUAUUUACCCACGUUUGGCACUCUGAAGUGAAGGUAACCCUUCGAUCUAUUCUCCCACGACCCGUCACUCAAUGAACAGACAGAGCCGCGAGCCGCUCCGGGAGAUGCUCUCCUCGCUAGGGUUCGCCGCCACCAGCAACUACAGCCGGCCUCUGGCGAUCCUCCGACCCCCACUGUCGCCCGAAGCUUCAUUUUCAUCCGAGGUAAUACCUUUGUCCCUCUCCUCCCUCUUUCCUCCCUCCAUCCCCUUCGUCCCUUCCUUCAACCGGUCGUCAUGCGAUCCUCAUCUAGUCGGUCGUCACGCAUCGCGGGAGCACUGCGGGCUUGUCGUUCGGCGCCGUCGGAGCACCGACCCUCGUUCACCCCUACCCCCUCGUCCCCCUUCGUCCCCUUCGUCCCUCCUUUCUCCCCUUCGUCUAUGUCCGUCAACCCUCGUCGAGUCAAUCGUCACGCACCGCCACUACCGACUGGCCAUCCAGCACCAUCGGAGCAACGUCCCUCCUUCACCCCCACCCUACUGCCUCCUCCCUCCUUCAUAUGUCCUCCCUCUCUCUAUUCCAGAAUGAUCCAGAUCUGGGCCUCCCUUGUUUUCUUAAUUAUUGGAUGAGUAUGUUAUGUAGUAUGGCUAUUUUGUGAGUAUGUAGAUGGUUACUUGAUGGUAUUGCUGCAUAUUGUUUGUCAUAUUGGUUAGUAUUGUUGAACUAUGGGUUUUUUUUUGUUAAUAUUGGUGCAUAUUAUCGGGGAACGUUGCAUGGGAAACAAAAAAUUCCCUACGCACACGAAGACCUAUCAUGAUGAUGAUCAUCUACGAGAGGGAGAUCAGAUCCACAUAACCUUGUAGAAUGCUAAGUGGAAGCGUAUAUAAUGCGGUUGAUGUAGUGGAACAUCUUCGCGAUCCAAAUCACAACCCGUCCCACGAUAUCAUCACGAUCCGUCCCGCGAUCCCAUCACGAUCCAUGCCGAUCUAGUGCCGAACGGACGACACCUCCGCGUUCAACACACGUAUAGCUCGAUGACGAUCCCGGCCUUCUUGAUACAGCAAGAGGGGCAGAGAAGUAGAUGAGUUCUCCAGCACGUCGUGGUGGUGGUGAUGGUGAACUAAUUCAGCAGGGCUUCACCUAGUGCUCCCUUGUACAAGUGGAAUGGUGUGAAUGUGCCUCAAAUUUGGAAAGAGGUCAUCCCAAAAAUAAGGAAGAUAACAGCCAACAAGUGGCCUAGUGCUCCCUUGAACAAAAACAAGAAGUGGAAAUGGCGGCUUGACAACAACUCCGUGUGAGGUAAGCAAAAGCAAUAAAACGCAAGCACUUUUUUUUAACUAUGGAAGCUUUUGCUUGUGUGUUGAGUUAUGUAAGAGUUUUCAACUUUUCUUUUCUGUUGACUAAUUAUUAUUUAACCUGAGGACCAAUUAUUCUGUAACCUGACAACUAAGUAGUACAUAAUCUGGAAACUAAGGAUUAUAUAAACUGGUAGCUAAGUACUUUCAUCUACAACUAUCUUUUAACAACAUGAUAAUUAAGAUGUAGCAACUAAGUACUUCCAUCUGAGAACCUGAUAAUUAGUUAUCUGACAACUAUCUUUUUUAAUCAAAAUAACUAAGUAAUUGCAUUCUGGCAACGACUCCCUUUGUAUCAAUACAAUAACAAGCUAGUACUAACCUUUUUUUAAAACUACAGCAGGCCGCUUUCACUGUAGUUAGCUAUGCAUGAGACAAGAGGCAUGCGUUUCACUGUAGUUAAUUAUGCAUGGGACAGGAGGCAUGCGUUGCGAGGCUCUGACAGAGUGGCUAGCCGCUGCAUCGCACGCAUGCUACGCAACUAUUUUAGAAACCGCCGCACGAAACACAUACGUUUUUAGUUGUCGGAUUAUAGUGUACUUACUUGCCAGUUCUAAAAAAAUUCAGUUUUGCCAAAUACAUGUGCUCAAAUUCUGGCAAGAGAUGGUUUUCAUUUAGGAAACUAAGUAUUAAAAAUGCUUCAAUCAGAUUUUUUUAAAACCUAGCAGCCAAACGAUUGUAUUUUAAAUUAAACGACUUAGUAUAACCUUUACACAUAAACUGAGGGGAAUACAAGAAAGUUACAUAUCACACAAAAGAGACACACAUAUAUAAAAUAGCACCAAGAACGACAUUAGCACCCCUCGCAGAACAUAGAGCAUUCAGAAUUACAUAUAUAAAUAGCUUCCAGAAUUUUAUAUAUAAAUCCAACAUUACACAAUACAUCCAGGAAAACAUCUCAUCUUCAGUUUGGAAGGGGGGCGGGUUUGUCCCUCGUCGAGCAUGUCCUCACAUCAUGUGUGAUUGAUCCAGAGAGCCGACAGGUCUUUUUUUCUUUCUUGCCAAUGUUCAAUGGGUGCUGGAAUGUCUUCUUCCUCUUGCGCCCUUUGUGUUUGACUUUUUUGGGUCACGAAGGAUAGGAUCAUGAGCAACUACAUGUGAAGAAUGGUGCUGGUUGUUCGAGCCACGAAACAGGGUAGAAGUAGCAUUUGUAGCAACAACCAUUGGCCAAGCAGACACACUCAAAACACUCAUGGAUGCACUUUGGCUUUGAAUUUGGGGGUCAGAAGCAGCUGCAUGGGGAGAGUGGGCUUGGUUGUUUGAGCGAGGACCGGCUUGGACAAUAUAGAUACUUGGACCAACAAUGUUCAACAUAACCGACGCACUAGCUGCAGCCGCCAAAGCACUUCGGGCAGAAUAUGCACCUAGAGUAGCAGACCCUAUAGCAGCAGACUUUGACAUAGUUGUUGUACUCCCAGCUACCGUUGUAGCACCGUGGCAUAUAAUGUUUGGCUCAGCAAGAACUACAUAGGAUGAACGGACUUUAUUGUUGGAAGCACCAACUUGGGCAGAAUAUACACCAGGAGCAUCAGGAUUUGGCAUAAAUGGUGCACUCACAGCAGCCACCGAAGCACUUCGGCCCUGAGUGGUUGGCUCGAAAGUAGCUGCAUACAAACAAUGACCUUGGUUGUUGGAGACGUGAACUUGGGCAGAAUAGGCACGUGGAGCAGCAUAUUUUGACAUAGAUGGUGCACUCGCAACAGUUGCUGAAGAAUCUGGAGCAACAUCAACCAUUGAUCCUCUUUUCGUUUGUUCUUUCGCAAGUGCAGCAAGCUCCCUCUUCAUAUCCUUUAAGUGUGUACCUAUUAUCUUCGACCAUCAGUUGUGCGGCACCCAACUUUAGCAAGUGAGGCAAACUCAUUCUUCAUGAGGGUUGUUUUCAUCAGAAUCACUGACUCCUCAGGCAUCUCAUGCACUUUGCCACGGACUUGUGACGACAUAUCAACGAGCAUUUCCUCCAUAAGCCAUGUCCAUCUCUUGAGUAUGUAUGUUGCUGGCAACGUGGUAACACCAAGAUGGACCAUGACCUGCAUCGUACAAGUAAAUAAUACAUUAGUCAUGGAAAGAAAAAGACAGAUAUUUUGAGUCAUUCAAUUAUGCAUUUGGAGAACCCAGCAACCCCCAAAAUCUGCGAAGUAGGAAAAGAAGUGGAGAACAUGACAAUUAUGAAUACAAAAGCCAGCAAGUCCGCAAAAUAGGAAUAUGGAAAUGUGUUGGAAAUAUGCCCUAGAGGCAAUGAUAAAUACUUAUUAUUACAUUUCCAGUUACAAAGAUAAUCGUUUAUUAUCCAUGUUAUAAUUGUAUUGAAUGAAAACAUAGAUACAUGUGUGGAUACAUAGACAAAACAAUAUCCCUAGCAAGCCUCUAGUUGGCUAGCCAGUCGAUCAAUGAUAGUCAAGAUUUUCUGACUAUGUGCAAGUGUUGUCACUUGAUAACUGGAUCACAUCAUUAGGAGAAUCAUGUGAUGGACUAGACCCAAACUAUGAACGUAGCAUAUUGAUCGUGUCGUUUUAUUGCUAUUGUUUUCUGCGUGUCAAGUAUUUGUUCCUAUGACAAUGAGAUCAUAUAACUGACUGGCACCGGAGGAAUACCUUGUGUGCAUCAAACGUCGCAACGUAACUGGGUGACUAUAAAGGUGCUCUACAGGUAUCUCCGAAGGUGUCCAUUGAGUUAGUAUGGAUCAAGACUAGGAUUUGUCACUCCGUGUGACGGAGAGGUAUCUCGGGGCCCACUCGGUAAUACAACACAACACACAAGCCUUGCAAGCAAUGUGAUUAAGUGUAAGUCACGGGAUCUUCUUUACGGAACGAGUAAAGAGACUUGACGGUAACGAGAUUGAAAUAGGUAUGCGAAUACCGACGAUCGACCCUCGGGCAAGUAACAUACCGAAGGACAAAGGAAAUGACAUACGGGAUUAUAUGAAUCAUUGACACUGAGGUUCAAUCGAUAAGAUCUUUGGAGAAUAUGUAGGAUCCAAUAUGAGCAUCCAGGUCCCGCUAUUGGAUAUUGACCGAGGAGUGUCUCGGGUCAUGUCUACAUAGUUCUCGAACCCGCAGGGUCUGCACACUUAAGGUUCGAUGAUGUUUUAGUAUAGUUGAGUUAUAUGUGUGGUUACCGAAUGUUGUUCGGAGGCCCGGAUGAGAUCACGGACGUCACGAGGGUUUUCCAGAAUGGUCCGAAAACGAAGAUUGAUAUAUAGGAUGGUUUCAUUUGGUCAUCGGAAAGUUUCGGGCAAUUCCGGCAGUGUACACGGAGUGACGAAUGUGUUCCGGGUGUUUACCGGGAGGGGCCCACCCACCCGGGAGUGAGCCCAAGGCCCUAGGGUGGCGCACCAAGCCCCUAGUGGGCUGGUGGAGUCAGCCCAAGAGGGCUAUGUCGCCACAUAAGAAAAUACCAAAAGAAAAGAAGAAAAAAAGGAAAGAGGGAGGUGGGAAGGAAGAGGAGGACUCCUCCUUCCCAAAUCAAAUUGGAGGAGUCCUCCUCCUCCUGGCGUCCGGCGCACCUGGAGGCCCUUGUGCCUCAAGGCUUGCCCCUCUCCUCCUCCUAUAUAUAUAUUGGUAGUUUAGGGCUUUUUGAGACACAACUUUACCACAUGCAACUCAAGGCUAUUCCACAUAGUUUUAACUCUAGAUCGGAUUUCUGCGGAGCUCGGGCGGAGCCUUGCAAGAGUAGAUCGUCACCACCACCGGAGCGCCGUCACGCUGUCGGAGAACUCAUCUACUUCUCCGUCUUGCUUGCUGGAUCAAGAAGGCCAAGAUCAUCGUUGAGCUGUACGUGUGCUGAACGCGGAGGUGUCGUCCGUUCGGCGCUAGAUCGAAACGGAUAGUGGGACGGAUCGCGAGACGGUUCGUGGGACGGAUCCUGGGGCGGUUCGAGGGACGUGAAGACGUUCCACUAUAUCAACCGCGUUUCUUAACGCUUCCUGCUGAGCGAUCUACAAGGGUAUGUAGAUCUAAUCUCCACUCGUAGAUGGACAUCACCAUGAUAGGUAUCCGUAUGCGUAGGAAUUUUUUUGUUUCUCAUGCAACGUUCCCCAACAGUGGCAUCAUGAGCUAGGUUGAUGCGUAGAUGUUAUCUCGAGUAGAACACAAAAGGUUUUUUGGACGGUGAAGUUCGAUUUGCUGCCCUCCUUAGUCUUUUCUCGAUUCGGCGGUAUUGUUGGAUUGAAGCGGCCCGGACCGACAUAACUCGUACGCUUACGAGAGACUGGUUUCAUCGAUUGACAUGCAACCUCGUUGCAUAAAGAUGACUGGUGGGUGUCGGUUUCUUCAACUUUAUUUGAAUUGGUUUUUGACCGAGGCCGUCCUUGGAGAGAGGUUAAAUAGCAAUUUGCACAUCUCCGUUGUGGUUUUUGCGUAAGUAAGAUGCGAUCAUACUAGAUACCCAUAGCAGCCACAUAAAAUAUGCAACAACAAAUUAGAGGACGUCUAACUUGUUUUUGCAGGGUAUGCUUGUGAUAUGAUAUGGCCAAUGACGUGAUGUGAUAUAUUGGAUGUAUGAGAUCAUCAUGUUGUAAUAGUUAAUAUUGACUUGCACGUCGAUGCUACGACAACCGGCAGGAGCCAUAGGGUUGUCUUUAAACUAAUGUUUGUGUUUGCAGAUGCGUUUACUAUAUUUCUAGGUCAUAGCUUUAGUGGUAAUAGCAUAGAUAACACGACAACCUCGAUGGCGACACGUUGAUGGAGAUCAUGAUGAUGGAGAUCAUGGUGUGGCUCCGGUGACAAGAAGAUCAUGACGGUGCUUUGGUGAUGGAGAUCAAGAAGCACAAGAUGAUGGCCAUAUCAUGUCACUUAUGAAUUGCAUGUGAUGUUAAUCCUUUUCUGCACCUGAUUUUGCUUAGAACGACGGUAGCAUUAUGAGGUGAUCUCUCACUAAAAUUUCAAGACGAAAUUGUGUUAUCCCCAACUGUGCACCGUUGCGACAGUUCGUAGUUUCGAGACACCACGUGAUGAUCAGGUGUGAUAGACUCAACGUUCACAUACAACGGGUGCAAAACAGUUGCACACACGGAACACUCGGGUUAAACUUGACGAGCCUAGCAUGUGCAGACAUGGCCUCGGAACACAUGAUACCGAAAGGUCGAGCAUGAAUCAUAUAGUUGAUAUGAUUAGCAUAGAGAUGCUUACCACUGAAACUAUUCUCAACUCACGUGAUGAUCAGACUUGAGUUAGUGAAUUUGGAUCAUGUACCACUCAAAUGACUAGAGAGAUGUACUUUUUGAGUGGGAGUUUAUCAAGUAAUUUGAUUAGUUAAACUCUAAUUAUCUUAAACUUAGUCUAAGUCCACUUUGCAAUAUUUGUGUUGUAGAUCAAUCGCUCACGCAAUAGUCACCCUGAAUUUUAAUACGUUCCUAGAGAAAUCUAAGUUGAAAGAUGAUGGAAGCAACUUUGUAGACUGGGCUCGUAAUCUUAAGUUGCUCCUGCAAGCUUGGAAGAAAGAUUAUGUCCUUAAUGCUGCGCUAGGAGAUGAACUACCCGCUAUGGCUGACCAAGAUGUUAAGAACGCUUGGUUAACAUGUAAGGAGGACUACUGAGUAGUUCAGUGUGCAGUCUUGUAUGGCUUAGAGUCGGGACUUCAACGUUGCUUUGAGCGUCAUGGAGCAUAUGAGAUGUUCCAGGAGUUAAAGUUUAUCUUUCAGAAGAACGCCCGGAUCGAGAGGUAUGAGACCUCCGAUAAAUUCUGUGCUUGCAAGAUGGAGGAGAAUUCGUCUGUCAGUGAACAUGUGCUCAAAAUGUCUGGGUACUCAAACCGUCUAGCUGAACUGGGCAUUGAACUCCCGCAAGAAGCUAUCACUGACAGAAUCCUUCAAUCACUGCCGCCAAGCUAUAAAGGGUUUGUGUUGAACUAGAACAUGCGAGGGAUGAACAAGUCUCCCGGCGAGUUGUUUGCGAUGCUGAAAGUCGCAGAGUCUGAACUCCGUAAAGAGCAUCAAGUGUUGAUGGUGAAUAAGACCACUAGUUUCAAGAGAAACGACAAAGGCACGAAGGGCAAUUCGAAGAAGAGCGGCAAACCUGUUGCCAAUCCGCCGAAGAAACCCAAGGCUGGACCUAAGCCUGAAACAGAGUGCUUCUAUUGCAAGGGUAUGUGUCACUCGAAGCGCAAUUGCCCCAAGUAUCUGGCAGAUAAGAAGGCGGGCAAAGAAAAAUCAGGUAUAUUUGAUAUACAUGUUAUUGAUGUGUACUUAACCGGCUCUCAUAGUAGUGCCUGGGUAUUCGAUACCGGUUCUGUUGCUCAUAUUUGCAACUCGAAGCAGGAACUGCGGAAUAGACGAAGGCUGGCGAAAGACGAAGUGACGAUGCGCGUAGGAAACGGUUCCAAGGUUGAUGCAAUCGCCGUCGGCACAGUGUCACUUCAGCUACCAUCGGGAUUAGUGAUGAACUUAAAUCAUUGUUAUUUAGUGCCUGCGUUGACCAUGAACAUUAUAUCUGGAUCUUGUUUAUUGCAAGACGGUUACUCUUUUAAGUCUGAGAAUAAUGGUUGUUCUAUUUCUGUGAGUAACAUCUUUUAUGGUCAUGCACCGAAUGUGAGAGGAUUGUUCAUAUUGAAUCUUGAUAGCGAUACGCAUAUACAUAACAUUGAGACCAAAAGAGUUAGAGUAAACAAUGAUAGCGCCAUAUUUUUGUGGCACUGCCGUUUAGGUCAUAUUGGUGUAAAGCGCAUGAAGAAACUCCAUGCUGAUGGACUUUUGGAGUCACUUGACUUUGAUUCACUUGACACGUGCGAACCAUGUCUCAUGGGCAAGAUGACUAAAACUCCGUUCUCCGGAACAAUGGAGCAUGCAAGUGACUUGUUGGAAAUCAUACAUACCGAUGUGUGUGGACCAAUGAGCGUAGAGGCACACGGUGGAUAUCGUUAUUUUCUUACCUUCACUGACGAUUUAAGUAGAUAUGGUUAUGUCUACUUGAUGAAGCACAAGUCUGAAACAUUUGAAAAGUUCAAGCAAUUUCAGAGUGAAGUGGAAAAUCAUCGUAACAAGAAGAUCAAGUUCCUACGUUCUGAUUGUGGGGGUGAAUAUCUGAGUUUCGAGUUUGGUGCUCACUUAAGACAAUGUGGAAUUGUUUCACAGUUAACACCGCCNNNNNNNNNNNNNNNNNNNNNNNNNNNNNNNNNNNNNNNNNNNNNNNNNNNNNNNNNNNNNNNNNNNNNNNNNNNNNNNNNNNNNNNNNNNNNNNNNNNNCAGAAGCACGGUGUACUCUACGAUUCUCUUUCUUUGAGUCAUAGGAACGCCCUACUGUUAAGAGGGGACCCGUAGUGGAAAGGUUUGGGUGGAAUCAAUUUUGCAUGCACUCACUUUAUCUUCCUUCCCCUUGCCUGCAACUUUGGAGUAUCUCCCGCCUAUGUGCUUAUCUCAUCUAAGCAAAAGGUCCCCCAGCGGUAGUACCGCUGUGGCUAGCGGUAGUAUCGCUAGCCCUAGCGGUAGUACCGCUAGAGUGCUAGCGGUAGUACCGCUGCCGCCAGCGGUAGUACCGCUAGCUGGCGGUAGUACCGCCCCUGGUGAGCGGUAGUACCACCCCAGAAGCUUAGUACCGCCUUCCUAGUGGUUGUACUUCGACGGACCUUUUUGCGAAGACUUUCUUGGCGGUGGUUGGCCCGGUACUGCUUAUGCACUACCAUGGGCCCAACGGUAGUACCGCUGGAGUGCUAGCGAUAGUACCGCUGGGUCCAGCGGUAGUACCACUAGGCACGGGCCGUGAGUGGGAAAACGGUUGGAUUUUUCCCCUCACUAUAUAAGGGGUUCUUCUAGCUGUGGAACCCCAUCUCUUACCCUUCCAAGCUCCAUUGUUGCUCCCUAAGCUCAAAAGUGCCCGAUCUCUCUCCCUAGCCAAUCAAACUUGUUGAUUCUUUAGGGAUUGGUUGAGAAGGCCUAGAUCCACACUUCCACCAAGAGAAAAGUUGAUUCCCCCACCAAUCCCUUGCGGANNNNNNNNNNAAAACUUGUUGAUUCUCUAGGGAUUGAUUGAGAAUGCCUAGAUCUACACUUCCACCAAGAGAAAAGUUGAUUCCCCCACCAAUCCCUUGCGGANNNNNNNNNNCUAGGGAUUGGUUGAGAAGGCCUAGAUCUACACUUCCACCAAGAGANNNNNNNNNNNNNNNNNNNNNNNNNNNNNNNNNNNNNNNNNNNNNNNNNNNNNNNNNNNNNNNNNNNNNNNNNNNNNNNNNNNNNNNNNNNNNNNNNNNNUCNNNNNNNNNNNNNNNNNNNNNNNNNNNNNNNNNNNNNNNNNNNNNNNNNNNGGCGGCAGGGAGGGUUUGCGUCGGCGAGGCCCGCGGCGAGGGGCGAUGCGAGGGGCGAUGGAGGGUGGGGGCGGGCGAGGGACGCAAUAAAUUGGGGCCGCUGGGGUGGGCUGGCUUCGCUAUGCUGGUUAACCUCGGAAGGAAAAAGGAAAGGGAAGGGAAGGUGUUAAUUCCGGAGUGGAGUUAAUGCGCUCCGCUGCCGCUCGCUCGCUCGCCCUGCUAAUCCUAAUCGCGGGGUUAGUGGAUUAUGAGAUGAUGGAUUACGAAUCCGGCGAGCCGCGCUUUACCGCUGCCCGCUGGGGGAGAAAGAGGGAGGGAGGGAGGAAGAGAGCCGCCGCGGUGGGGCCCCCGUGUCAGCGGCAGCGGCAGACUGUACUGCGGUCGUUUGCUGGAAGCCCGAGCCGGCCGGUGUCAACGCCGGUCAGACGGUCGUCGCCCGCGCGCGCUUGGACGGACACGACACGACGGCAAUUUUUAUCCGGGCCCUGUGGCUUGUGUGGUGCCAAUCUUCGUUUGUUUUUUUACAUGUCUUUGGGGAGGUGUUUGACUGGCCCUUGGCCAUAUCACAGUUACCUCUUCAUUGUUUUCCAUAUGUCCAACCACUAGUAGUAGUUUAUGGAGUGGUGAUAUUGUUUUGUCAACAUGGUUAUCUCUUCAUUGUUUUUUAUAUAGCUAACCACCGGUUUAUCCAGUGGUGAUAAAGCCAGGUUUUGCUUUUGUAUAUCAAAUUUAUGGGUGGGCGGGCAAUUGGGGGUGGAAAUCGGUACCGACGUGUUUUGUUGCUUGCCUUGAAGGCGGGCGGGUGGAGGAGGGAGCAAGGUUGCGGUUAUGGAUUAAAGACUUGGAGCAAGUCCGAUUGAUGUCGGAUAGAUUUAUCGAACGUGCAAAUAUGUUUCAGUAACGACCUUUUAAGGUGGUAUUGAUGGGUUUAUCACUUCUUUGCAGUCUACUUACAUGACUGUACGACGAUACGGGUUGCAUUGUCAUCACGCGUCAUUAAUCUUGUAUCUACAAAGAGCAUCGUUCCAGUUUGUUUGUUUUUUUGGCAGGGGUCGUUGGGGCGAUACCGUUGUUCAGGGAGGUGGUUCCACUAAAGGGAAUAUCCCCCCCAAUAUGCGGAACCAUAUGGGUAACGCCAAUUCGGCCGAGCUACUCGAAUCCUCGCUUGCGUAUCUGCGCAAAUGACGGCACAUGACAUCUCGCAUUGGCAUUCGGUCACCGCCGUGGAGGAAAAAACCAUGCCUUUCUCCCCUCAGCCUCCCACACAUCCAUUCGCGCUCAAAAGUCGUGUUCGUCGCUUACCUUGAGGAAGACGGGUGAGCAGGUGGGGCAGGGGCGAAGUUGCAAUUGCGGGUUGACGACUUGGAGCAUGACUAGUUAAUAUAGGAUAUGUAAAACAUGUGAUGUGGUUUUGUAAGGGCCGACGAUGAGGUUUUGCAACGGUUGACGUGGCAUGAUCGCACGUGUGAAAAGUUGACAAAAUAACAUUAUACUAAAGCAUUAAGUUUGCUUCGUUUUAACGGUCAGACUAAUGUGCUUAGGUAUUACAACAUUUUGAAAGCGAUGUUUUGUAAGAUAAUAGGAAAUCCACAUCAUUAUGAAAAUAUAUCUUAUUCGGACCUGAAUUGGGAUGCAUUUAUUAUUUUCUUUUGAGCCUCUCGCAUCCGUACUUCAGUCGAAGUAACUUGUUUCCAUUUAUACUCAUACCGAUAUACUUCGUACACUAUUUCUAAUGAUAUCUUGUAGCUACUUUUGCGUGUGGUGCAUAUGAAUAAGAACUUGCUCAAGUAUUCUAUGACACGGUCAUAAUUAUAUUCGAUGGGCAAUCUUGUAACUUAUUUUUUAGAGGCUUUAUAACUUUUUGUUGUUUUACAUGAUUUUUCCAUGGAGGUGUUAUUAUUUCAGUCGUCAAAUGCAUCUUCGUUGUAUCCAAAGAUAAAUUGAAUCCAUACAACACUCAGGCGUUAAGUUUGGAAGGUUUGUGAAACAAAAAAGGCACAUGCUUCAUGGAUUUUACUUUGGUUAGGUGGGGGUGCCGAGGGGUAAAUUGGGUUGAAAACGUUUAGAAAAUGGACUACGCUAUACAAGGGAGUGGACACUCAACGGGGGAAAUUGAUACCAAUAUACUCACCCUUUUCUUUUGAACUGGAUGUGUUGUUUGCCUCAACAUUCGUUUUAUGUUGUUUCUUGUGGGCGAACACGAAAGCCUAUUUCGACGAGAAGAGAAGGAGAGAGAGUAGACACACUUAGAAGAUGCAGUUAUAGAUUAACGACUUGAAACAAGUAUGGUCAACAGUGCGGCCUUCCUUGUAUGGUAAUAUGGGUUGCAUUACUAUCAUGCUUAAUUAAUAUUGUCCCUAGCUGAGUAUCGUUGUACUAUCUUUGAUUCUCGAUAUCUAUAAUUUAAUGGUGUCCAUAUUAUUGCAUUAUUUCACAUGAUCACAAUUGUAUUUAGAUGAUUUAAGGUCAUAAAUUUUAUUAAUUGCUUCUCUCACGCAUGGAGAUUCGGUUUUUAGAGAUUGUGACAUCUCCCAAGCAAUAUUCUAUAAGAUACCCACAAUCCGCCUUGAUACAAAAAAAUAGGUAAACGCUUCCAUCCGGUGCGCCUCGCUGGCAAUGCUUGCAACAUUUUUCCGUUAAAUUUGCUGCAACCGUGUGUUUUUCGAAAACAAACGUUUUAAUGCAACUUUUUUUUCGUGUAAAUUUGUUGCAAACAACGUCAUAUUUGCUGCAUAUUCGAUUGGUUGCAACUCCAAUUCGUCGGAUUUUUCGUUACAAUCGAUGUUUUUACUUUUGCUACAACCGUGUUAAUUCUUGCUACAACCGGCAUCAUUUUUUGCUCUAACCGUUUACUAAAAAAGUUACAUACACGUGCACGUAGAUAUUUGUUACAACCGGCGUUUGACUUUUGCUACCAUGCACCAUCAGCUUCGUUUUUUUUGCUACGAUCAUGUAGAUUUUUUUUUUGCUAUAAAUUUUGUUAUUUAUUGCAACCGUUGAAAAAAAUUGCUGCAUUGCAUCGAAUUUUUGCUGCAUCGAAAGAAAAAUAUUGCAUGGAGAUCCAACGGUGCGCACGCGCGGGGGUGGUGGAUCGUGCGGCCGGCGCGCGGCGCGCCGGCGCAGAGCACUGUUAAAAAAAAAUACUAUGUAUGUGCCUCCGUCCCGGAUCUUGAGAGUAAUAACUCGGAUCUGGGUCUUCACCGAUCAUUCUCUCCUACAAAGUUGGAAGACUGCCAGUGUCUUCCUGCGAUCUUCCAUGUGCUUUCAAGGGAUGAUGACACGGUGCGUUGGCCCCACUCCUCUUGAGGCGAAUUUCGGUUAAAUCGUUGUAAGUUAGGUUGAGCUCUGGUUCCCCUUCCUCAAGGUUAAAAUCUAAAGUAUUUAUGGAGCGCGUGUUCCUCAUAAGUCAUAAGAUAUGUAUAUUCCUUUAGCAAGCUGCUAGAGGGAGACUUUGGGCGGCAGACCAAAUUCGCAACGACCUUGGUUAGGAGUUUUGUUCCCCGUGUGGUGCCCUUGAGGAUAUUGACCACAUCAAUCUAAUUUGUGACCUUGCCAAAUUGGCCCAGAGUUGCACCCGGGCGUAGUUGGAUGUAAAUGGAUUCCUACUUCUUUGCCAACGUUGUGGAUGCCUCGGGUGUUUGUUUCAGGUGUUGCCUUGAGGCUUUAUUUGUAAGGUCGUGUGCUCGCCUUUUCUUAAAAAAAAACAGAUAAAAAACAUACUUCUUCCGUUUAAAAAUACUUAUCAUAGAAAUGAAUGUACCUAGAUGUACUUUAGACCGACGCUGUGGGUGCAGUGCUCCACCCAACCAUCGGGUGUGGCCGGGUCCCGGGACACGUACCCCGACGGUACUGCGGCGGUGCAGCCAGCCUGCAUACAGUAGCAGGUAUGUAUGGGUGUACCCAAGGAAAACACAGGUAUAUGUGUGCAGUACUAGACCGUUCGUCCAUUCGGGUAUUACAGGUAAAUCCGUUCUGCGACGAGGAAGAAAAACCGUCUUCCGUUCACACCAACGCAUCGGCGGACGGGGGGAAAAGCUUCGCCUGCUGCCUGCCGCCGAUGACGGUCAAGGGGGCCUGAGCAUGUGGUCCGGUAGAUAUGACACGAUACGUCGAUACCAGAGGUUGCGACGACUUUGGCGCCGGGAAAGCUGCGGCCAGCGGGGCCUCGUGCUGACUCGUGACUCGGCUCCUUUGUCAGGUGGGCCGGGUGAAUCUGAGCCUGGUCCACCUUCGAAAAAACAAACAGCCUGAACCUCUCACGGUGUUGCUUCUUGGAGAGACACGAUUUUGUUUCCAGAGGCACGAUCUUCGCGAGCCGUGCCUCUCGGAAAGAAAAUAAACUCGUUUUUUUUUUUUUAUGAGAAGCACGGUUUUGUUUUCGCGAGAGAUAAGGUUUUGCCUUCGUGAGAGAGUUAUUUUUUCUGUCAGAGGCACGAUUUUGCUUACGUGAGAGGCACAGUUUUGUCUUAAUAAGAGGCACUGUGCCUCUUUGAAAAUUCAAAACGAAAAAGUAUGUUUUCUGUUUUUUUAAUAGGGAGAGGCACGAUUUGUUUGGUCCGUUUUUUUCGUGAAAAAAAAUCUUCAAAACAUAUCAAUAUGGGAUCUAGUUUUGAAGAUCUCGACGCGAGAAAUCCAACGGUGAAAACGAUUCGAGAUUUGGACGCACGGUUUAGAAGAUAAAACGUUUUGAAAAUACGAAUCUACGAAAAAAGGAAAACUCCCCGGUUGCUACAAGUGACAUGCAUGGAGUGUGUCAUUUGUCGCAACCUGGAAGAUGGGAGUGAUCUUUGAAAGAAGCACUCCCUAAUUAGUGAGUUCGGGGAAUCUGUUGAGUUCCUUAGACGCCCGAUCCUCAGAUUUCAAGGGGCGGGGCGAAAAUUAUAACACGGUCCCUCAAGACCAGUGCCCCUCCGAAGGACCAUCUUCCCACAAAGAGUAGACCGAGGGGAACCCCUCGCAUCUACAAUUGGAUCCCUUAAGCCCCCUCAAAAUUCACACACGCGUCACAAACCGGCCUCAAAGGCUCAGGCUCAACGGUACUCCCAAUUUCCAGCCCAAAUAUGGGGCGAAAAUGUAGGAGCCGGGGCGUGCCCGGGCACGCCCGCCACGUCGGCCUGGCGGCUUGGACCCACACGGACUUACCGGGAAACUCGACGGUUCGACACGCGCCUCGACCGUUGGCACGGUGUUAAAGCCACGUGACGCCGCUUCGGGGCCGGGGCCGGCUAUUUAAGCCGACCUGCUCCCCUGGCCCUAACACAUCCGCCUCCUUCCUCUCUCCGCCGCCACCCGAGAACUUUCCUCUUUGAGCCUGUCACCCAUGCCACCACGUCGGCGGCAUUACACGAUCCAGUAUCGUCUCUUCCUUCUUCCGCAGGUCCGAAUCUGAAGGGAUGAAGGGCUACCCAUGGAACUGAAGGUGGAUUUCGGGGAGGGGGAGGAGCCACACGCGCCGGAGGAGGAGGCACCGUCGUAGCAGUCGAAGGAAGAGCGGUCGACGGUGGUCGAUCUGUGGCCGGAGCAGCCAGCCAUCCUCAACUCCAUCCGCUUCCAGUCGGUUGCACUCGCCAGAAGUCUGGUGGAGGAAGCGCGGGCGGCUCACGAGGAGGCAGAUGCGGCAGAGGAGGCGACGCAUGCGGCUCACGCUCCCACGCAGGCCAUCUCCAACGAGGAAAAAGAUCAAUAGUAGUACCUAGGAUAUUCUGCAUGCUUUGUAUGGAUAUGAGGGAUGAAAUAUGAGAAUGUGAAGAAUGAAAUUUGAGACGUGAUCCAUCAGUAUCCGCUAACACGUCCGGACGUGUCCGCGGGCGUUUGAAGGGCCGGAUUUGCAAAGUCCGGAUGUAGAUGCUCUUAGACGAUUAUCGAUGCCGAUGCAUGUCAUGCAUUUUGGGUAAUAAUUUGGAAUAUAUUUUUUAAAAGUCGUAAAACUGUUCAACAUAUUUUAAAAAUGUUCCAACAAAUAUUUCAAAAAUAACUAAUGUGCAAAAAAAGAGCAAAACAUGUAACCCUACACUUUUUCUAUCAAACAUAUGUAUUAAUGUAUAUGUUUUUAAUAUAUAUUGCACAUUUUUAUGAUAUAUGUAAAAUAUUUGUAUAAAUGUUUAAUUUUAUUUUAAAUUAUAGGAACAAUUUGGUCUCUUAUAAACAUAAAAACAUCCUUGAAUAUAUUUUGAAUGCAUAACAAUGUUUAAGUUUUAGACAUUAUUUUAAAAUUAUGCUUUCCAAAAUUUUUUACACCACAUUAAUAGUUUUGAAACUAUUAUUUUCAAACAUUUACGACUGAAAAGUGAACAUAAGUGACUAACCUGAAAGUCUGGUCAACCCUGUAUUUGCAACUCGAAAUAUAGGUUGCGGUUGUACAUUAUGUCACGCUCUAAGCGAGACAUAGUCCAAUAUCACCAGUUAAGGGCCACCCCUUGCAAAGUCACUUCCCACUUUCUUACAAGUUGAAAAUGAACACAUGGUAUACGCAUCAUUAGUCACAACCUAAGAUUUUUUAUAAAUUUAUUUAUUUAAAAUGUUUUAUCUCUUGAAUCGUGCAUCCAAAUAUUGUAUCGUUUUCACUAUUUGACUUCUCCUGUUUAGAUCUUUGAAACUAGGACGGGCCCUUUUGUUUGAGCUUAAGUAUGCUUCCGCUUUUCAGUUCUUCCACUUUGGCCUAAAAGCUAAAACUAACUCCUAAAUAUGGGCUUUUAUCUUCGGCUUUCGGCAUAUACCAUCAAAUAAUAAUAUUCAUUCAUAAGCCAAAAGACAAUAAGCCUAAAAACGAAGACAAAAGCCCUAUUUAGGAGCUUUUUUGACUUUUAGGUUUAUGGUUUCAGUUUUUUGGCUUAUGGCCUUUUGGCUUGACUUUUGGCUUAUGAAUCAAAAUUGUUAAUAGGCGUCGAUGAAAAAUGUCCACACAAAAAAUUAGCGAAAACAGAAACAUAAUCCAAUAAGAAGGAAACCCUGAGAAAAAAAGGACAACCGGAAAAAAUGAAUGCCCAAACAAGGAAGGAUAAAACUGGAGCUUGGAAAGUUGGCUGCGAUUUUCACUUUUUGGGGGUGUGAACAAGGUUGUGCUUUUCUUUUUAUCGAGGAAGCACAUGUUGUGUUUCCGCAAGCAUGUGCUUCUUUUUAUCGAGAGCGUCCAAAGAAGCAACAGUUUUUUUUUAUAUAUGGAUCAAAGAAGUAACAGUUGGUUACUUGCUCCCUAGAUAGUGACACCUGAGGCGGAUAGUUUUUUUUUAUUUUUGAGCAAACCUGAGGCGGAUGGCUCAUGCGCAAUUCUCUAUUUUCUACCGCUCACAGCCCACGAGCCUUUGAUGGGCCAGAUGUGCUGGUAGCUCUCGUAGGUAACCAAGCCAUAUCGUCCAAGAACGCGGUCCACGAGAUGAGAAGCGCGCAGUGGAUUCCAAAACCCUGACAAGAAGGAGCCGGGCGACGUCCGUCCCUAUCCAAAACGAAGACGGUCCGUAUGACCAUCAGCAGCAGCAGCAGCAGCAGCAAGAAGACGGGUAGUAGUACUAGCUGAGUAGGAGCAGGGAGAGGCUCGAGUAGCUAUAGCCCGUGCCCGUCGUGGUGCUGCCUGCUGUUACUGCCAUCGCAGUAAGUAGUAUCAUCGUGGCAGCGGCGACAGGCUGACGGCGACAGCCAAAGCACGGACGGCAAGCAAGAGCAGGAAGCAGAUGAUGGCCAAAAGAUAGCAACAGCGUGAUACGUGCUCCUCCUAGGACUUGACAGUAUACGUCUCCUACUGCUUUGUACGUACUGCUUACUACACAGGUGCUCGUGUCGUGCUGGUUCCAAUUCCAACCGAUAAAUCGAAAAGCACGCGGCACGGGGAGCGUCCACUCCAUUGCUCUCCGCUGCAGGCGCAAGCAAGCAGACCCAAAGCAGCCAAAGCUGCCGCGUCGGGGCAUGCAGCAAAUGCAGCGGCCCUGCUCGCACGUCCAGUGUGCCGCGGGCACGUGUAGUACGUUGCCGCCCGCGGAAAAGCAGCACGGCACGCCGGCCAAACCACGGCGCACGGCGAACUAAUAAUCAAUCAAUCAACAAUCGAUCGCGUGCGUGCACGGCCUUUUGUAUUGCACAUCUUCUCUCCGUCUCAGUUCGCGCAUGCCUGUAGUCUGCAGACGUGCGGUGGUGGUGGUACACGAGAGCGGCUCACGUGCACGGUCCGGGCAUGCCAGCGGCCGAUCUGGUGAGCCCACUCGCCCGCCGGCCACCCUCUACCCCAGACCCAGAGCCAGACCCUGGCAUGCCAGCCACGGCACGCGCGCGGACGGGAGCGCGCACACGCAAAAGAUACGCCGCCCAUUUCCGGGCCUCUGUCCCAAAAGCCACCGGCUCCAAAGGCGUGGAAGUGGAGCCCGUCCGGCCGGCGGGCAUCGCCGUCAUAAUCGCACACGACGCACGGAGGCGGGCGUACGUUGGCAUGGAUAUUAUGGGGCCCGUCCGGCCGGCCGGCCGGCAAGCUCCUUUAAUCCCCAAAGCCAAACAGUCUCGCUUGUAGCAAGAGCGUUGCAGCCAGUCAGAGCUGUGAGGCCCCGAGCUCGAUGGCAGUGCUCUCUGUCACGUCUCAAAUGACGCUUAUACCCCCGACCCCACUCUCUCUCCUCCAACCACGAGCCUACUGGCAACGAGAGAGGAGAGGGAAAUGGGAAAGAGACGGCGGCAUGCGGGCGGGCGGAGCCACGCCUCGCUGCUCACGAGACGCGCCGGUGACACGACACGACGUGCCUUUCCACGCGCGCGCGCGCUCGCUCCCUCUCGCUUGGCCGUGCGAGCGCGGUCCCGGCCUCCCCGAGCGCACGCACGCGCGCCCGAGCCACCCCGCCACCAUGGCCCGCUCGGAGAGGACGAGGGGAAACAAAAACAUUCGUGCUCCCGAGGAGUGUGUUUGGUCGUUGUAACAGGAGCACGCCAAGCUAGGUAUGCUAGACCCCUGGGUGGCUCGUCAUUAACAACUUGAUUGGGAUUUAACGAGGCACCGGAUAACGAGACAUGGACACUGCCCGUGUACGUGAUGAUCCACUCGUGUAGUACAAAGCAGUAGUACUGGGAGCAGUUCGAUUAACCAAAACCGGCGAGAGCUGCCGAGAGCUGGGGCCAAGAGAAGAGGAGAGGAGCGUACUGUGGCGUAGUUGCCACACUGCUAUGGCCAAGCAGCUGGCGCUGCUGUAGCGGCGCUGUGUCUCUUCGCUGCUCUUCUCUGGUCUGCCUACCUGCGGCGUCCUGCUCCCAGUAGUAGUAGUAGUAAAUAAACACUGCACAGUACAGUUGGUAUUGUAGACGAUCGAGGCGGCUGUUUGUUACGCACGCGUGCAGGCUGGCAGAGCCAGCGCGGUGCCGCCACGCGCCCCAACGCUUCCGUGUUAUCGGCCCCGGUCUCAUCGCCUCGGCGGCUGCGUGCGUCUCUCUCGAGCUGCAUGCACAUCCGCAACCAGACAUGCAUGCCCAUCGUUUCCGUUACUCCAACUACUAGCGCAACGUCCAUUCGGUGUAACACGUCGGCGGUACGAGCGAGCGGAAACUGGCAAAGGACCGGUCGCCGGAGUCGUUCGUGGCCGUGAUACGGCCGGAGUGACGACAUGAUCGAUGAUGGCCGUCCGGGGCGUCGUCGUGUUGGAUCGCACGCAACGAGCCCAUUUAUGAUGCCCGUGUACCUCCGGUGGUAUUCAAUGGCGCUGCGACCUUGGCGGGACGCAUCACUGGUCACCUCGUGAGCAGCGUCGCAGCGGGCGGCGCGUGUACGGUGUACCGCCGGCGCUAGUGGUGGAUCGAAGCAGCCUUUUAUCCAUUGCCAGAUACCGAUCCCACCGACCAACGCGGGGUUGACCAAAUGACCGGCACCGCAACUUUUUGUACUCCCUCCGUUUCAGUUUAUAAGUCCUGCACGUGUAUUUAGGUCGUUAAUUUGACCAACUUAAUAAGAGACAUAUAUUACAAAAAUAUAUCAUUAUAAACUUUAGAUGUUCUAUUUUUUAAUGAUAUAAUUUUUAUGUUAAACAAUAUAUUUUAUAUAAGUCAAAUUGACGACCUAGAUACACGUACACGCCUUAUAAACUGUGAUGGAGGGAGUAUAGCAUUUCUCCCGACACGAACACGAGAAAUGUGCUCUUCUUUGAUCCGCGCGGCUGUUUCUCGGCUGCUAGAGCAACCCAAAGCACCGAUUCAUUUUGUCAGUUUGAGUCAUUCGAACACAAAAGCUGACCCAACGAUAUGAUUCAAACGGACGUGCGUGUCCGCAUUUAGGGGGGGGCUGUGUCAGCUAGUGGGAUGAGCGGGAUGGAGGGCGCGCAGGUCAACGAGAGGAAGGGCCGCCAUUGGGGGAAGUGCGGCAGCUGCGCAGGCUUGAAUGUCCACCACCACUGGGCGGGGGACAAGGAGGAGGAGGCCCGGGGAGUGGUGAUCCAUACCUGCGCCCCCGACGUCGUCUGAAUCUUCCAUCUCAAGUGGGAAGGAAAGUGGCGGGCCGCCGGUGCCUCCUGAAGCACCGCGUUUGGCGGGAUCAGGGCAAUUUGACCCAAACCGGGCCCCUUAUCUCUGUAUCGCGAGGUGCGGCCCGACGCUCAGCGAGAAGAACAUCACAACGGGUCGUCCGUUUUUUAAACAUCUCGUGUGUUGAGUUUGUUCACUCACAAUGCGUGUUCGUCUCAUGUCCGCUAGCAGGGCCGGUCCUGAUAUUUUAGGGGCCCGGGGCGACACUAGGAUCCGAGGCCCCUAAUACGAACACCAAAAUAAUGCUUAUAAUCGCACGACGAUAUGCAGUGCAACGUUUCAUGUUUAGGUGAGAGUGUGAUAACCGUGCUAUCAUCUUUUUAGCGUGUAUGAACCAAGGUUCAACCCGAGUUAUAGAGCAUGGGUGAACUUUAGCACAUUAUACUUUUCAUUGUGUCGACAUGAAAUACUAUCAAUGACACUUGAAGUGCCUAAAAACAUUCAUGUAAAAAAGAAAAACACACCUAUCUGUAGUCAUAUUGUCAUGGUGGCCGGUAGACAAGGUGUGUACGUAAGGUAUCUUCUUGGCGACUCAGCCUCUCACUUCUCGGUGUGGCCGCGUGGUGGCUCGUGAUGAAAAAUCUUCAAAUCAGAUGGCAACACACACAUUAAGAGUGGAUCUUCAAGGCUGUCUAUCUUUUUCCUGAAAAAACGAAGGUCGCAAUUUGAUCGUUAAACAAUUAUUAUUUUGAAGCGAGUGUAAUUCACAAUUAUGUACCAGUGAAAAGAUUCAAACAUUCCUUACACAUUCUUGAAAACUAUACAACAGGACUUAGGGUUUGUCCUUCCUAAGUGAAAUUAAAAACAGAANNNNNNNNNNNNNNNNNNNNNNNNNNNNNNNNNNNNNNNNNNNNNNNNNNNNNNNNNNNNNNNNNNNNNNNNNNNNNNNNNNNNNNNNNNNNNNNNNNNNNNNNNNNNNNNNNNNNNNNNNNNNNNNNNNNNNNNNNNNNNNNNNNNNNNNNNNNNNNNNNNNNNNNNNNNNNNNNNNNNNNNNNNNNNNNNNNNNNNNNNNNNNNNNGAAAUUAAAAACAGAAAGUAGAUGCUGCUGCCUCCAGGCCCAUCAUUUAUUUGGUUUUGCUGCUGCUCUACAUGUUCCUUUCUUAAUACUUUCAUGUAACGUGCUUACAUGGACAGCAGAAAACAGAUUAGAUCAUAGAUAGGAUUAGGAGGAAGGAACCAUGGACAAGUGGACAACUAGAGGUGAAUCGGGAAGAGGAAGAAAAGAUGGGGUCGCUGCGUACAAACUGUUCGGCAAGGAAGAGUUGGACCAAGCGGCGGUCGAUGAACUAAUUUGCCUCAUGAAUCGAAGUAUACGAUCGAACUGUCGGCGUAGGCCAAAAGUUAGGGUUCGCAACGAUACGACGAGGUCUCAGGUUGUGGGAAUGAAUCCAUUGUGUUCGCUAAUCGCCUAGAAUAGAACGAUCUCCGGCUCAUGAGGUAUCAAUCGCGUCCCCAACACAGGCACAUAGUUGGACCAGUCAGCGCAGGCCUAGGUCGGGGCCCCUUAGACUUCAGGGGGCCCGGGGCGGCCGCCCCUCCCGCCCCCUGAGGGCCGGGCCUAUCCGCUAGGCGAACGAACGAUCCAAACGAACAAAAUUCAAAUAAAAUUCAUAUACGUUUAAAUCUUCCCGUUGGAGUUAUCCUUACGGGCGGGUAGCUAGGGUGCAAACAUACACGACAGUAAUCCAUGGCUGUGACCCACUCCUGGACGAGGCACAAGGAGCAGGCGUGAAUCGGGACCCAUUGCUCUCGACCGACGCGACGGAUAUGCACACACACUCGCACCUAGUAAAAAACAUGUUCCCAGCUCGUAGGCAUGCAUGCAGUUGCCUCCUGCUCUCCUGCUGCAGCGAAGCAACCAACCCAACCCUGUGUCCCUCUCUGCUGCACGCACGCAGCAUGGCCCUGCCUUGUUUAUUGCGACGUGAAGGCGAGCACUGGAGAGUGGAGUCGAGCCAGCCACAAGCCAAAGCGAAGCGAUGCACGCCGCGGAGCGCCACCGGGUAGCAGCCACGCACAACCCGACGCGGCCUCCGCGUUCCCGGCGCGGAGACGCGAGGCGGCGGCCUGGCCUCUCGUGUGUGCUGUGUUGCUUCGGGCGGAAGGCUUUCAAGUUGGCGGCGCCGCGGCAUGGGCACGUGCCCGAGUCCGGUUUCGCUUCCGCUCCGCCAGCCCACUGCUCCGUUGGGUUCCUACUUCCUAGCGAGGUCGACCGAUCGCGAUGGCCGUCGACGUCCAUCGCCACCACACACAAACGUUUGUACGGCCCGGCGCCCGGCGGGCUGACGUUCCCAUGCAAGGCCGACGUGCCGCGCGCCUGCCGACCACGUCUUCUUUUCAACGCGGCGCGUCGGCAUCGCAGCUGCAGCGCGUACCGCGUACUGUGAUGCCACUGGGGUUUAGGGGGGAGGCAGGCUUUAUCCAUUUCGGCCACUACGGGAUAUUCCUUGCAUUUGUUUACUUUGUAAGCAAUUCUAAAUGAAAGGGAAAAAAAAUUGCAAAAAUGAUUGCGCGCAACACUACGUGCACUAAUGUCAUGAUGAUGCAACUAAUGCCCGUAGACAAGAUUUCGUAACCAGACAAUUUCUAUUACUACUAAAAAUCUGUCAAGGUACACUUCAAAAAAAGUAUCUGUCAAGGUAACUCAAUCCUUAUUUUUUCUCUACUCAUGGCUUACUGUAAACCAAAUAUUCCUUGGCUUAACUACCCCUCGAAUUAUUAAGAAACAAACUGUUUACAUGCCUGCUAAUAGUAGUAGCCAGAUCAACGUUUUCUCACCAGUUUUAGUUGUACGAAUUUUGAUGCCUGGUUGAAGGUUCACAUCACUUACUUAAAGAUAGUGAUUUCUCUGCCACUCGAGCUAUAAAACCUUUACAUUUGCAUUAUGUUAUGUUGUCUAUUUCCUUUUCUCGACCAAUUUCUUCACAUGAUUUUUCUCGAAUUUAUCCGACCCACGAUCCAACCUUGGCUUCUAACUCCCGCGACGCCUCUUCCCUUGGUUUUGACACCAUCAUCCUCCCGCCACAGAGGUGUCUCCUGGUCACAAACUUGUCCGCUCCACUAAGAAUUAGUCAACGUCGUCAUUUGCCGACAUGGUUUGCGGCCUGCAUUUUUCGACUUGAAAUCUGCACUCAAUGUUCAUCUAGAUCGGUAUUUUGAUUGGAAUAGUGUUAAUAACUUUCUCUUCUACCAACGGUAGUCACCAGUUCAAUUCGUGGAAUUUUGGUAUUAAUUCUCAUAGCACUUCUCUUACCAUCAAGUGAAACAAAAGACAUAAAUAGUUGUUGUCUAUAGACUAAUAGCUAGCGUGUAUGAGCAAUGUGAGGACGUGUACACUAGCUUGAUGUUAACCUUUCUGUUAGGGAAGCGAUGUAGGAUAAUCAUUAACUUGAAAGUUGUAGUGAAAAAAAGUUCAAUGGUAGACGGGUUUAUUUUCGAACGGGAAUUCCUCAUUCGAUGGUGUUUUUCAUCAUGAUCUGUUUUUAUAAUAAUGUGGACUAGUUGGUUUACUACGCACUAUAGUUGGUGGGAAACCUAGUAGAAACCAAAAAAAAUCUUCACUACCUAUGUAUACCCAUGUAAAAGGGUCACAUCCCGAUCUCACCUCAUUUGUGAUUUUUUUUCCGGAUGUGAUCCUUUUUUUACCGUCACCCGUUAUGGUUGUAGGCAUACACACAUCCUACUGUCACUCAUUCUGGCGGUAGGGGUCGGGCCAACGCAUAUGACACUUUGGGAUCAACGGGGUCAAAUGACGCCACCUCCACUGACCUCACCCUUACCGCCACUUCGUGUGGCGAUAGGAAAAAAAAGCCAGUCAGAUCAGGCUAAAGUUAGCAAAAAGGGUCAAAAUCGUGAAUUUGGCCCCUAUAGGAGAGAUAAUUUUAAAUACAAAUGUUUAUAUAUUACUAACAUUUUCGCAUGAGGUUCUCCACUUCCAAUGGUUUUUUCCAACUUGAUUGGUACCUUCAUUGCAAACCAGCUUUUAGGUCCAAUGUUGUUCUCCUCUUAGCAUGACUAAGUUGAUUUGUUGUGCAUGUGUAAGACUGUGUUUGGUUCAACUUAGGGGCCAGCUUUUAGGUCCAAUGUUGUUCUCCUCUUAGCAUGACUUAAGGUAAUAUGCUUAAGUUGAUUUGUUGUGCAUGUGUAAGGUUGUGUUUGGUUCAACUUAGGGGCCAGCUUUUAGGUCCAAAAGCUAAAAUCUGAACCACACGUGUUUUCCAUCGGACUAACUUCGUAAGAAACUGCGGAUUCUCUCUCCGUAAAUUUCGUAGCUAGCCCAACCCAACUUUCCCAACUUGAAAACCAACCCAAAUAAUUGUCCCGAGGAAGUUGGGUAUUAUUUACCCACGUUUGGCACUCUGAAGUGAAGGUAACCCUUCGAUCUAUUCUCCCACGACCCGUCACUCAAUGAACAGACAGAGCCGCGAGCCGCUCCGGGAGAUGCUCUCCUCGCUAGGGUUCGCCGCCACCAGCAACUACAGCCGGCCUCUGGCGAUCCUCCGACCCCCACUGUCGCCCGAAGCUUCAUUUUCAUCCGAGGUAAUACCUUUGUCCCUCUCCUCCCUCUUUCCUCCCUCCAUCCCCUUCGUCCCUUCCUUCAACCGGUCGUCAUGCGAUCCUCAUCUAGUCGGUCGUCACGCAUCGCGGGAGCACUGCGGGCUUGUCGUUCGGCGCCGUCGGAGCACCGACCCUCGUUCACCCCUACCCCCUCGUCCCCCUUCGUCCCCUUCGUCCCUCCUUUCUCCCCUUCGUCUAUGUCCGUCAACCCUCGUCGAGUCAAUCGUCACGCACCGCCACUACCGACUGGCCAUCCAGCACCAUCGGAGCAACGUCCCUCCUUCACCCCCACCCUACUGCCUCCUCCCUCCUUCAUAUGUCCUCCCUCUCUCUAUUCCAGAAUGAUCCAGAUCUGGGCCUCCCUUGUUUUCUUAAUUAUUGGAUGAGUAUGUUAUGUAGUAUGGCUAUUUUGUGAGUAUGUAGAUGGUUACUUGAUGGUAUUGCUGCAUAUUGUUUGUCAUAUUGGUUAGUAUUGUUGAACUAUGGGUUUUUUUUUGUUAAUAUUGGUGCAUAUUAUCGGGGAACGUUGCAUGGGAAACAAAAAAUUCCCUACGCACACGAAGACCUAUCAUGAUGAUGAUCAUCUACGAGAGGGAGAUCAGAUCCACAUAACCUUGUAGAAUGCUAAGUGGAAGCGUAUAUAAUGCGGUUGAUGUAGUGGAACAUCUUCGCGAUCCAAAUCACAACCCGUCCCACGAUAUCAUCACGAUCCGUCCCGCGAUCCCAUCACGAUCCAUGCCGAUCUAGUGCCGAACGGACGACACCUCCGCGUUCAACACACGUAUAGCUCGAUGACGAUCCCGGCCUUCUUGAUACAGCAAGAGGGGCAGAGAAGUAGAUGAGUUCUCCAGCACGUCGUGGUGGUGGUGAUGGUGAACUAAUUCAGCAGGGCUUCACCUAGUGCUCCCUUGUACAAGUGGAAUGGUGUGAAUGUGCCUCAAAUUUGGAAAGAGGUCAUCCCAAAAAUAAGGAAGAUAACAGCCAACAAGUGGCCUAGUGCUCCCUUGAACAAAAACAAGAAGUGGAAAUGGCGGCUUGACAACAACUCCGUGUGAGGUAAGCAAAAGCAAUAAAACGCAAGCACUUUUUUUUAACUAUGGAAGCUUUUGCUUGUGUGUUGAGUUAUGUAAGAGUUUUCAACUUUUCUUUUCUGUUGACUAAUUAUUAUUUAACCUGAGGACCAAUUAUUCUGUAACCUGACAACUAAGUAGUACAUAAUCUGGAAACUAAGGAUUAUAUAAACUGGUAGCUAAGUACUUUCAUCUACAACUAUCUUUUAACAACAUGAUAAUUAAGAUGUAGCAACUAAGUACUUCCAUCUGAGAACCUGAUAAUUAGUUAUCUGACAACUAUCUUUUUUAAUCAAAAUAACUAAGUAAUUGCAUUCUGGCAACGACUCCCUUUGUAUCAAUACAAUAACAAGCUAGUACUAACCUUUUUUUAAAACUACAGCAGGCCGCUUUCACUGUAGUUAGCUAUGCAUGAGACAAGAGGCAUGCGUUUCACUGUAGUUAAUUAUGCAUGGGACAGGAGGCAUGCGUUGCGAGGCUCUGACAGAGUGGCUAGCCGCUGCAUCGCACGCAUGCUACGCAACUAUUUUAGAAACCGCCGCACGAAACACAUACGUUUUUAGUUGUCGGAUUAUAGUGUACUUACUUGCCAGUUCUAAAAAAAUUCAGUUUUGCCAAAUACAUGUGCUCAAAUUCUGGCAAGAGAUGGUUUUCAUUUAGGAAACUAAGUAUUAAAAAUGCUUCAAUCAGAUUUUUUUAAAACCUAGCAGCCAAACGAUUGUAUUUUAAAUUAAACGACUUAGUAUAACCUUUACACAUAAACUGAGGGGAAUACAAGAAAGUUACAUAUCACACAAAAGAGACACACAUAUAUAAAAUAGCACCAAGAACGACAUUAGCACCCCUCGCAGAACAUAGAGCAUUCAGAAUUACAUAUAUAAAUAGCUUCCAGAAUUUUAUAUAUAAAUCCAACAUUACACAAUACAUCCAGGAAAACAUCUCAUCUUCAGUUUGGAAGGGGGGCGGGUUUGUCCCUCGUCGAGCAUGUCCUCACAUCAUGUGUGAUUGAUCCAGAGAGCCGACAGGUCUUUUUUUCUUUCUUGCCAAUGUUCAAUGGGUGCUGGAAUGUCUUCUUCCUCUUGCGCCCUUUGUGUUUGACUUUUUUGGGUCACGAAGGAUAGGAUCAUGAGCAACUACAUGUGAAGAAUGGUGCUGGUUGUUCGAGCCACGAAACAGGGUAGAAGUAGCAUUUGUAGCAACAACCAUUGGCCAAGCAGACACACUCAAAACACUCAUGGAUGCACUUUGGCUUUGAAUUUGGGGGUCAGAAGCAGCUGCAUGGGGAGAGUGGGCUUGGUUGUUUGAGCGAGGACCGGCUUGGACAAUAUAGAUACUUGGACCAACAAUGUUCAACAUAACCGACGCACUAGCUGCAGCCGCCAAAGCACUUCGGGCAGAAUAUGCACCUAGAGUAGCAGACCCUAUAGCAGCAGACUUUGACAUAGUUGUUGUACUCCCAGCUACCGUUGUAGCACCGUGGCAUAUAAUGUUUGGCUCAGCAAGAACUACAUAGGAUGAACGGACUUUAUUGUUGGAAGCACCAACUUGGGCAGAAUAUACACCAGGAGCAUCAGGAUUUGGCAUAAAUGGUGCACUCACAGCAGCCACCGAAGCACUUCGGCCCUGAGUGGUUGGCUCGAAAGUAGCUGCAUACAAACAAUGACCUUGGUUGUUGGAGACGUGAACUUGGGCAGAAUAGGCACGUGGAGCAGCAUAUUUUGACAUAGAUGGUGCACUCGCAACAGUUGCUGAAGAAUCUGGAGCAACAUCAACCAUUGAUCCUCUUUUCGUUUGUUCUUUCGCAAGUGCAGCAAGCUCCCUCUUCAUAUCCUUUAAGUGUGUACCUAUUAUCUUCGACCAUCAGUUGUGCGGCACCCAACUUUAGCAAGUGAGGCAAACUCAUUCUUCAUGAGGGUUGUUUUCAUCAGAAUCACUGACUCCUCAGGCAUCUCAUGCACUUUGCCACGGACUUGUGACGACAUAUCAACGAGCAUUUCCUCCAUAAGCCAUGUCCAUCUCUUGAGUAUGUAUGUUGCUGGCAACGUGGUAACACCAAGAUGGACCAUGACCUGCAUCGUACAAGUAAAUAAUACAUUAGUCAUGGAAAGAAAAAGACAGAUAUUUUGAGUCAUUCAAUUAUGCAUUUGGAGAACCCAGCAACCCCCAAAAUCUGCGAAGUAGGAAAAGAAGUGGAGAACAUGACAAUUAUGAAUACAAAAGCCAGCAAGUCCGCAAAAUAGGAAUAUGGAAAUGUGUUGGAAAUAUGCCCUAGAGGCAAUGAUAAAUACUUAUUAUUACAUUUCCAGUUACAAAGAUAAUCGUUUAUUAUCCAUGUUAUAAUUGUAUUGAAUGAAAACAUAGAUACAUGUGUGGAUACAUAGACAAAACAAUAUCCCUAGCAAGCCUCUAGUUGGCUAGCCAGUCGAUCAAUGAUAGUCAAGAUUUUCUGACUAUGUGCAAGUGUUGUCACUUGAUAACUGGAUCACAUCAUUAGGAGAAUCAUGUGAUGGACUAGACCCAAACUAUGAACGUAGCAUAUUGAUCGUGUCGUUUUAUUGCUAUUGUUUUCUGCGUGUCAAGUAUUUGUUCCUAUGACAAUGAGAUCAUAUAACUGACUGGCACCGGAGGAAUACCUUGUGUGCAUCAAACGUCGCAACGUAACUGGGUGACUAUAAAGGUGCUCUACAGGUAUCUCCGAAGGUGUCCAUUGAGUUAGUAUGGAUCAAGACUAGGAUUUGUCACUCCGUGUGACGGAGAGGUAUCUCGGGGCCCACUCGGUAAUACAACACAACACACAAGCCUUGCAAGCAAUGUGAUUAAGUGUAAGUCACGGGAUCUUCUUUACGGAACGAGUAAAGAGACUUGACGGUAACGAGAUUGAAAUAGGUAUGCGAAUACCGACGAUCGACCCUCGGGCAAGUAACAUACCGAAGGACAAAGGAAAUGACAUACGGGAUUAUAUGAAUCAUUGACACUGAGGUUCAAUCGAUAAGAUCUUUGGAGAAUAUGUAGGAUCCAAUAUGAGCAUCCAGGUCCCGCUAUUGGAUAUUGACCGAGGAGUGUCUCGGGUCAUGUCUACAUAGUUCUCGAACCCGCAGGGUCUGCACACUUAAGGUUCGAUGAUGUUUUAGUAUAGUUGAGUUAUAUGUGUGGUUACCGAAUGUUGUUCGGAGGCCCGGAUGAGAUCACGGACGUCACGAGGGUUUUCCAGAAUGGUCCGAAAACGAAGAUUGAUAUAUAGGAUGGUUUCAUUUGGUCAUCGGAAAGUUUCGGGCAAUUCCGGCAGUGUACACGGAGUGACGAAUGUGUUCCGGGUGUUUACCGGGAGGGGCCCACCCACCCGGGAGUGAGCCCAAGGCCCUAGGGUGGCGCACCAAGCCCCUAGUGGGCUGGUGGAGUCAGCCCAAGAGGGCUAUGUCGCCACAUAAGAAAAUACCAAAAGAAAAGAAGAAAAAAAGGAAAGAGGGAGGUGGGAAGGAAGAGGAGGACUCCUCCUUCCCAAAUCAAAUUGGAGGAGUCCUCCUCCUCCUGGCGUCCGGCGCACCUGGAGGCCCUUGUGCCUCAAGGCUUGCCCCUCUCCUCCUCCUAUAUAUAUAUUGGUAGUUUAGGGCUUUUUGAGACACAACUUUACCACAUGCAACUCAAGGCUAUUCCACAUAGUUUUAACUCUAGAUCGGAUUUCUGCGGAGCUCGGGCGGAGCCUUGCAAGAGUAGAUCGUCACCACCACCGGAGCGCCGUCACGCUGUCGGAGAACUCAUCUACUUCUCCGUCUUGCUUGCUGGAUCAAGAAGGCCAAGAUCAUCGUUGAGCUGUACGUGUGCUGAACGCGGAGGUGUCGUCCGUUCGGCGCUAGAUCGAAACGGAUAGUGGGACGGAUCGCGAGACGGUUCGUGGGACGGAUCCUGGGGCGGUUCGAGGGACGUGAAGACGUUCCACUAUAUCAACCGCGUUUCUUAACGCUUCCUGCUGAGCGAUCUACAAGGGUAUGUAGAUCUAAUCUCCACUCGUAGAUGGACAUCACCAUGAUAGGUAUCCGUAUGCGUAGGAAUUUUUUUGUUUCUCAUGCAACGUUCCCCAACAGUGGCAUCAUGAGCUAGGUUGAUGCGUAGAUGUUAUCUCGAGUAGAACACAAAAGGUUUUUUGGACGGUGAAGUUCGAUUUGCUGCCCUCCUUAGUCUUUUCUCGAUUCGGCGGUAUUGUUGGAUUGAAGCGGCCCGGACCGACAUAACUCGUACGCUUACGAGAGACUGGUUUCAUCGAUUGACAUGCAACCUCGUUGCAUAAAGAUGACUGGUGGGUGUCGGUUUCUUCAACUUUAUUUGAAUUGGUUUUUGACCGAGGCCGUCCUUGGAGAGAGGUUAAAUAGCAAUUUGCACAUCUCCGUUGUGGUUUUUGCGUAAGUAAGAUGCGAUCAUACUAGAUACCCAUAGCAGCCACAUAAAAUAUGCAACAACAAAUUAGAGGACGUCUAACUUGUUUUUGCAGGGUAUGCUUGUGAUAUGAUAUGGCCAAUGACGUGAUGUGAUAUAUUGGAUGUAUGAGAUCAUCAUGUUGUAAUAGUUAAUAUUGACUUGCACGUCGAUGCUACGACAACCGGCAGGAGCCAUAGGGUUGUCUUUAAACUAAUGUUUGUGUUUGCAGAUGCGUUUACUAUAUUUCUAGGUCAUAGCUUUAGUGGUAAUAGCAUAGAUAACACGACAACCUCGAUGGCGACACGUUGAUGGAGAUCAUGAUGAUGGAGAUCAUGGUGUGGCUCCGGUGACAAGAAGAUCAUGACGGUGCUUUGGUGAUGGAGAUCAAGAAGCACAAGAUGAUGGCCAUAUCAUGUCACUUAUGAAUUGCAUGUGAUGUUAAUCCUUUUCUGCACCUGAUUUUGCUUAGAACGACGGUAGCAUUAUGAGGUGAUCUCUCACUAAAAUUUCAAGACGAAAUUGUGUUAUCCCCAACUGUGCACCGUUGCGACAGUUCGUAGUUUCGAGACACCACGUGAUGAUCAGGUGUGAUAGACUCAACGUUCACAUACAACGGGUGCAAAACAGUUGCACACACGGAACACUCGGGUUAAACUUGACGAGCCUAGCAUGUGCAGACAUGGCCUCGGAACACAUGAUACCGAAAGGUCGAGCAUGAAUCAUAUAGUUGAUAUGAUUAGCAUAGAGAUGCUUACCACUGAAACUAUUCUCAACUCACGUGAUGAUCAGACUUGAGUUAGUGAAUUUGGAUCAUGUACCACUCAAAUGACUAGAGAGAUGUACUUUUUGAGUGGGAGUUUAUCAAGUAAUUUGAUUAGUUAAACUCUAAUUAUCUUAAACUUAGUCUAAGUCCACUUUGCAAUAUUUGUGUUGUAGAUCAAUCGCUCACGCAAUAGUCACCCUGAAUUUUAAUACGUUCCUAGAGAAAUCUAAGUUGAAAGAUGAUGGAAGCAACUUUGUAGACUGGGCUCGUAAUCUUAAGUUGCUCCUGCAAGCUUGGAAGAAAGAUUAUGUCCUUAAUGCUGCGCUAGGAGAUGAACUACCCGCUAUGGCUGACCAAGAUGUUAAGAACGCUUGGUUAACAUGUAAGGAGGACUACUGAGUAGUUCAGUGUGCAGUCUUGUAUGGCUUAGAGUCGGGACUUCAACGUUGCUUUGAGCGUCAUGGAGCAUAUGAGAUGUUCCAGGAGUUAAAGUUUAUCUUUCAGAAGAACGCCCGGAUCGAGAGGUAUGAGACCUCCGAUAAAUUCUGUGCUUGCAAGAUGGAGGAGAAUUCGUCUGUCAGUGAACAUGUGCUCAAAAUGUCUGGGUACUCAAACCGUCUAGUUGAGUAGGGGAUUGAACUCCCGCAAGAGGCUAUCACUGACAGAAUUCUUCAAUCACUGCCACCAAGCUACAAGAGCUUUGUGUUGAACUAUAACAUGCAAGGGAUGAACAAGUCACCUCGCGAGUUAUUUGCGAUGCUGAAAGUCACAGAGUCAAAACUCCGGAAAGAGCAUCAAGUGUUGAUGGUCAAUAAGACCACUAGUUUCAAGAGAAAUGACAAAGGCAAGAAGGGUAACUCCAAGAAGAGCGGCAAGCCUGUUGCCAAUUCGACGAAGAAACCCAAGGCUGGACCUAAGCUUGAAACAGAGUGUUAUUAUUGCAAGGGACUCGGUCACUGGAAGCGCAACUGCCCCAAAUAUUUGGCUGAUAAGAAGGCAGCCAAUGAAAAAUCAGGUAUAUUCGAUAUACAUGUUAUUGAUGUGUAUUUAACCAACUCUCGUAGUAGUGUCUGGGUAUUCGAUACCGGUUCUGUUGCUCAUAUUUGCAACUCGAAAUAGGAACUGCGGAAUAAGCGAAGUUUGGCGAAAGAUGAAGUGACGAUGUGCGUGGGAAAUGGUUUCAAGGUUGAUGCAAUCGUCGUCGGCACAAUUUCAGUUCAGUUACUAUCAGGAUUAGUUAUGAACUUAAAUAAUUGUUAUUUAGUGCCUGCGUUAAGCAUGAACAUUAUAUCUAGAUCUUGUUUAUUGCGAGACGGUUACUCGUUUAAGUGAGAGAAUAAUGGUUGUUCUAUUUCUAUGAGUAAUAUCUUUUAUGGUCAUGCACCCAAUGAGAGAAGAUUGUUCAUAUUGAAUCUUGAUAGCGAUGAUACACAUAUACAUAGCAUUGAGACCAAAAGAGUUAGAGUUAACAAUGAUAGCGACAUGUUUUUGUGGCACUGCCGUUUAGGUCAUAUUGCUGUAAAGCGCAUGAAGAAACUCCAUUCCGAUGGGCUUUUGGAGUCACUUGACUUUGAAUCACUUGACACGUGCGAACCAUGCCUCAUGCGCAAGAUGACUAAGACUUCGUUCUCCGGAACAAUGGAGCGUGCAAGUGACUUGUUGGAAAUCAUACAUACCGUUGUGUGCGGUCCGAUGAGUGUGGGGGCGCGCGGCUGAUAUUGUUAUUUUCUCACAUUCAGUGACGAUUUGAGUAGGUAUGGAUAUAUCUACUUGAUGAAGCACAUGUCUGAAAUGUUUGAGAAGUUCAAGCAAUUUUAGAGUGAAGUUGAAAAUCAUCGUGGCAAGAAGAUCAAGUUCCUACGGUCUGAUUGUGGGGGUGAAUAUUUGAGUUUCGAGUUUGGUGCUCACUUAAGACAAGGUGGAAUUGUUUCACAGUUGACACCGCCUGGAACACUACAGCGUAAUGGGGCGGUUCGAAGGACGUGAAGACGUUCCACUAUAUCAACUACGUUUCUUAACGCUUCCCGCUGAACGAUCUACAAGGGUAUGUAGAUCUAAUCUCCACUCGUAGAUGGACAUCACCAUAAUAGGUCUUCAUGUGCGUAGGAAUUUUUUUGUUUUUCAUGCAACGUUCCCCAACAAAAUGUGCGUAUAAUUUGUGUGUUUUACCCUUAGUAUAUGGCAACAGACGAUCCCAUCACGCUCAUACUUGCAUCAUUCACACAUAUACACCCCUUCUUAAAAACUCGCAUGUACCUUAAAGGACUUAUCGCUGUACCCCGGGACAAACUUAGCAAUACACUCAUCCAUGUAUUCCUGGGCACGUGUCUGCUUACAGCUCUACGGCAACAGUGACUGCAUCUCCCCGUGGAACCUAACAAACAUAUUGCGCGUAUAGAUAGUUUACAUUUGGAGCUCAAUUGGGUUGUAACUUCACUUCCUAGCUGUUGUGAUUGUUGUGUCUUCAUCCCGCUUCUUCUCAGCACACAUUAUCUUCUCUUGUAUGGCAGCAUAUUGGCGAAUAAAGUCCAUUGUUGAGUUUUGUGGGUUGACAUACUUUUUGAGCGCAACAUUGAAGCCUUCACUCCUUUGCGUGGUCUGGAGAAAGGGGUAGAACUUGUGCAUAAAGUAUGCGGGCACCCAACAUGUUCGUUUCUCAUACAAAUAAACAAAGUUUGGGUGUUCUGCAACCCCAUGUUGCUGAAUCAUUGCAAUCCACCUUGCUUCAAACUCCUCAGGAGUGUAGCUGUCAUUUACACGGUCAUUGAACUUGGUUUGCAACUCUGGGUGUUUCUCUAGGAACGGACUAGGCUUCUCGGUAGCAUUUUGCAUUAUAUGCCAAGGACAAUUUCGAUGCGUUGUAUUCGGAAAAACAUACCAGACCUCAUGGCAUAAUCUUGGUCUGUUAUGAUAUUGGUUGAGGCCAAACCACCCAUUGCUUCUAGGAAUGUCUCAAAUAGCCAAACGAAGCUUGUCGAUAACUAAUUCCUAACAAAACCACAACCAAACUGAAUUGACUGUCCAUGGUUGUUUAUACCAAUAAAUGGGGCACAAGGCAUCUUGUAUAUAUUUGUCAAAUAUGUUGUGUCAAAAGAGACACAAUCACUGAAAAACUUGCAAGCCCUUCUCGCUGAACCAUCAAUCCAAUAAAUGCAUUGGACCUUAUCAUCAUCAUCAAGCUUGUACUUGAAAAAUAAGUCUUUGUCAAGUUGUUGCUUUCCCUUAAAGUACUCAAUUCUGUCCUGCAUAUCACUUUAUUUAUGCUUAGCCCGAAACUUUGCCAGCAAGUUUGCCAAGUCUUUGUGAGUGUAACCAAUUGCUUCACGUUGGCCAUGCAACUUUGUCAAAAACGGCAUAUGUCUAAAAGGUUCCAGAUUGCACAAAUGAAGCAACUUCACAAACUGUUCUUCUUCUUCGGGGAUAUGUCUAUGUGAUCAUAGGUACCGUGUCAGCAACAACUUCUUGAUGAGAGGGUGGUUAUGGUCGUCAUUUAUUUCUGUAACAACCCAGGAAUUAUCUCUUCGCUUGACAAACAUACGGGUCGUGCAGUUUGUUCCUUCAGUUGUAUUCCUCCACCUCUCAGGGGCAAUAGGUUGCAGGUUUUGGGUGUCUACUUUCUUCUUGAUCUUCAUCCCAGCUGUAUGGCACACAAGGGAUGCUCUUAUUAGUUCACCACUCGCCUCUGACUUUUUUUUCUCUGAAAAAGUACCUCACUCUAAACCCUUUCUGCCUCGCAUACAUUUUGUAGUGUUUUUCAGCAUCCUCAAGAGUGUCAAACCUCAUCGUGGUUGUGGGUUGCUGUGGCAUGGACAUCACCUCCGAUAUGCCUUCAUCCUCAUUUGCAUUAUCAUCAUUUGGUGUGCGAUUAGAUGAUGCAUCCAACGUCUGCUCUGUGUUUGCCGGUUGUUGUAACACAGUGUGUCAUGCACUAAUAGUCUCACAAUCUGCAUAACACACAUAACCAAUUUAGUAACAUUUUUUUAGAAACUCACAAUUGUGCAUCUUUUUCUUCAAAACUGGUAAUCAGGUACAUCUUUUUCAAAACAGGGAGGCAUGUGAAAUAUGUAUUUUUGCACAACUAUUAGGAACAAAGUAUUUUGAAAUAAUCCAGUUUUUUUUUCAUGGUAAACUAGAAAACAUUUUGUGUAUUCAGAACCUUUGGUAUUGCCAUUUUUGGUAUUUUUUUAUAGGAUAUUCUACAUGAAACCAACAUUUUAAGUAGCAAGAAAGGAACUGCCAUUUUUUCAUGGUAACUAGGCACAUUUUUUCUGACAACUAGGUGCAUGGAGUUAUUCAACAACCAACAAAAGAAAUUGGCAUUUUGUUUUCUUAUAAACUAGGCACAAUUAUACUAACAACUACUGCAUUUUCUAUGCAGCAACUAGGUGUGAAAUAGCAGAGAACAUAAAAAGACUUGUUAAGUUAGUGAUUAGGCUUGAAGGCCUUUUUUAAGGAAUUACGGUAGCAGCAAAAAUACAACUAGAUGGUGGUGGUGGUACAAAUAAAUUGGAAACUCUAGGGAGGGGGGAACAAACCUGUGUCAUGAGCAGCUAGAAUGUAAGAAUCCAUCUUUUAUGUGGCGUGUCCCUUGUUGUUUCUUGGGAAGUCCUUCCUCCCUGCAUGUUUUUGUGUGAUACGAAGACAAUAUAUUAGCUAAUUUUUUUUCCGAUUUUUUUUUGUUCUGGAACAGGAAUUGAAAAGCAAAUCAGAUGAUGAAGAUCCGAAGGGAGAAAGAGAGGUGCAUAUCUGAGGGGCAGAAAAGAGAAGUUCUGUUUUGGGGGAGAAACAAGAGAUUUUCCGUAGGAUUUUCUUUGUGCAAGAAUUAAGGGGCAGUAAUUUGUAAGUAGAUUCAUGUUUCUUGCAAGGGACCUGGGACGAGGCACUUGCGUACCUGUUAUUUUUGCUACUUUGUGUACCUGUUAUUUUUGAUUUCCGUAAGUUUAUAACUUGGAUCACUCGAGAUGUCAUCUUUUUUGCUGCUUGUUCUGUUGUUUUCCGCCCUUCAGAUCUUGUUUUUACGCCAGUGGAGGCUAUUGGGGAGGGAGGAAGAAGACGGGAGGGAUUACGGGGUGGGGGAUCUGGGGUGGUUGUGGGAUUGAUGGUGGUGUGGGAAGAUAUUUAUGGAAACAAGUGUAUGAGACAAAAAAAAGAAGCUGCUGGGAUCGGGAGGAAGAGUUGAAAAAAGACAGGCCAGGCUGGCAACCUGCCGCCGCACGGGAGCGCACAUGUGCGGCGCCGCUCCGUAGUGGAGUCCUUCGUUGAAUUUAGUUUGAUAAUCAUUAUGACUCUAUUUCUGUUGUCAAAUGGAAAUAUAAGAUGUAAAUCGACUCUAAUACAAUAACCAACACACAUACUCCACAAUGUGAUGGAAUAUACAAGACGAUGGUAGUAAACUUCUUGUUAUUGAAGCCAUGAAGGAUAAGUGCUGGCUAACAAGAAUGGUAAAGUUAAACUAAAAAGAACAUAUAUCUAUCUUAAUAAAAUCAAUUAAGCAUAGAAACUAUUUGACAAAAUAAUAAAGAUAAUUUCUUAUUUUACCACAAGUUAAUAUUCACGAGGAACAUAACCAAACGAGACAUAUCUAUCUUAGCAAAAUAACAAGGAUAACUUCAUAUUUUACAGAUGGAGUAUUAAUUUACAGAACGAGUAUUUUUUUAAAGAGAUGCUGAAUCUCCAAAAUUGGAUGAAGGGCUGACUUUUUGAAGCACGGAUUGAUUAGCCGUUAGGCCCGUUACUAUGAGAUCUUGGUACCAAUUGAUGAAUGGAUUAAUUUCGCUGGGUUAAUUCGCAUAUCAAAUCCCCACUUUUCCGCCUUCCAAAGAAGAAAGAUGGCCGCGUUGAAGAGCAGCCCAAACCCAAACGCCAAAACCCCCGCCUCAAAAACCACCCAAAGCCAAAGCCAACCGCAGCAGAGCACCACCACCACCACCCGAGCUGCAGCAGCACCGAGCAGAGCAGCAGCAGCAGCAGCCCAACCCCCCUCUCCCCUCCCCAUCGACUGCGAUGAUGAUGGAGAUUCCACCACGCGCGCCCGCCUCCUCCUCCACCACCUCGUUCCCCGCAUAGCCAUCCAUCCAUCCAUUCCCCAACCCACAGCAAGAACCCUCCUCUUCUCCCUCCUCCGUUCUCCGAGCGAGUUUGAAUCUUGGUGAGGGGAGCGAUGGCCAAGGCGGAGAGGCUGGUGGUGGAGGUGGUGGCGGCGCACAACCUGAUGCCCAAGGACGGGCAGGGCUCCUCGUCGGCCUACGUGGAGGUGGAGUUCGAGCACCAGAAGCGCCGCACCAGGCCCAGGCCCAGGGAGCUCAACCCCGUCUGGAACGAGCGCCUCGUCUUCCCCGUCGCCGACCCCGACGACCUCCCCUACCGCGCCAUCGACGUCGCCGUCUACAACGACCGCGCCGCCUCCGCCUCCGCCUCCGGGAGCGGCCCCCACGGCCGCAACUUCCUCGGCAAGGUGCGCGUCCCCGCCGCCGGCGUGCCCGCGCCUGGGGAGCCCGUCGUGCCGCAGCUCUUCACGCUCGAGAAGCGCAGCCUCUUCUCGCAUAUCCGCGGCGAGAUCACGCUCAAGAUUUACCGCGCCGGCGCCGGGGCUGGGGAGGUGGUCGCCAAGGGCAAGCAGGAGAAGCCGGCCAAGGCGGUGGUGAGUGGGCCCGAGGUCGUCGCCGCGCCGCCUGUGAAUGGGGGCAAGAAGCAUCACCACCAGCAGCAGCAGCAUCACCAGCAUCACCAGCACCAACAGCCGGUGGUGGCCGCGCGGCCGCAGCAGCCGCCGCAGCAGCCCCAGCAGCCCAUGGACGUCAUGCCGCAGCCGCAGCCGCAGCCGGCGGCCAUGAAGCCGGUCAUGCUCGCCGACCACUACCCCGUCCCGGCCAUGUUCCCCGGCGGGCCCGCGGACUUCUCCCUCAAGGAGACGCGGCCACACCUCGGCGGCGGGCUGACGGCCGACAAGGCGAGCGCCACCUACGACCUGGUCGAGCAGAUGCAGUACCUGUACGUGCGCGUCGUGCGCGCGCGCGGCGUGGCCACGCCCGGGGAGGCCGUGGCGGAGGUCAAGCUCGGGAACUACCGCGGCGUCACGCCGCCGGCCGCCGCGCACCAGUGGGACCAGGUCUUCGCCUUCUCCAAGGAGACCAUCCAGUCCUCGUUCGUCGAGGUCUUCGUGCGCGCACGCGGCAGCGACGACCACGUCG
rnacentral:lncRNA from 1 species